rnacentral:lncRNA from 1 species
UCUCUCUCUCUCCUUUCUCUUCUCUCUUCUCCCCUUCGUGAUCGAACCCCCUUCUUCUUCUUUCUUCUUCGGGCGAGCAGAACCAGAAGUGGAAGAAGCCGAGACAGCAGCCCGUCGCCCAUCGCCGCCGCACCGGAGCUGAACCGCCCGCGUGCCGCCGUGCACCGCCAGCUCCGUUCCCUCGCACCAGGCGACCUCCUCGAGCAAACCAGCCUCUGUCCAGCUCGGUUCUGCUCCGACCAGCCACCUCUGGCCACCGCCUAGCCCCGCCGGACUUCCCCCGGCGUCCCCCUCGCCCUCCGCCGGCCUCCCCUUGCCGCCCUAGCCGCCGGACGAGCUUCGUUCAGCCUAGAACAGUGGCUGGAAAAAUGGGUUUCCAGCACUGUUCAAGGCCGAUUUGGGCCGUUUCCCGGCCCCGAACCCGAGCGGUGCUUUGGGAAGAAUUGUUCCUCGCGUCGCCGCCGUCGGAUUGAUCCGAUUUGGUGAGUAAUCUCACUAAUCUUGGAUUAGUUGGCUAAUUAUUCUUAAGGUUGGUUUAGAUUUAAUUAAUUAUGUUUAGGUUGUUAGAUUAGAGUAAAUUAGCAAUUAUUAGUCAAUUGUGAUGCGAUUUAGAUAAAUUGAUUGUGCAAUUAGCAAGUAGACAUGGUCUACUAAUUAUUGGAAGUGCCUCGGGAUUUUUCCCGACCCUUAGUGGGCUCCAAUUAGGCUUUUCGGGCCUAAGUGGAUUUUUUUAGUAUUUAAAUAUUAAUUUUCGGAAAUUAAUUAAAUAAUUAUUUAUUUUCCGAAAAUUCAAGGGAGAUGGUUCGGAACCGGAAUAUUAUGCGGAUGACUGUGGUGAAGUCCGUUUAUUUAAUCGGGCUUUAAUUUGAGCUAAAUGAGAUUUUUAAUAUUAAUUAUUUAAUAUUCGAAAUUAAUUAUUUAUUUAUUUAUUUUCCGAAAAUUCAACUGAGAUGGUCUGGAACCGGAAAAUUAUGCUGAUGACCGUGGUGAAGUCCGUUUAUGUAAUCGGGCUUUAUUUUGAGCUAAAUUGAAUUUUUAAUAAUAAUUAUUAAUUUUCGAAAUUAAUAAAUAAAUUAAUUAUUUUUCGGAAAUUAAGAUUUUGAUGGCCGACGACCGAAAUCUCGUGCUGAUCGUCGUGGCGCAGUCCGUUUAUUUAUUUGAGCUCCACGUUGUAUGGAAUUGAAUAAAUUGUGAUAUUUUAGGGAUUUACCCUAAAUUGAUUGGAAUCGAUUGAGAUUGAAUUAUCGAUUGGUGAAUGGCCAAGUAUGUUUAUUCAGCAUUUAUAAUGCUUUGUUGAGUUAAUUUAAUUAUUUGAUUGAGUAUUGAUUGGUGAAUGGCCAAGUAUGUUUAUUCAGCAUUUAUAAUGUUUUGUUGAGUUGAUUUAUUUAUUUGAUUGAGAAAUCGUUGGGCAUUGGUUGUCGAUAUUGAAAGUGAACUGGUAACCACUGCAAAGAGGACACGUGGGCUUGGUGAAUUGGAAUGUCACCUGGAGAAUGCACGUGAGUUCAGUGGUUGAAUAUGUCACCUUGGCGAAAAGGUCGCCUGAGAGAAUGCACGUGGCUCGGAGACUCGGUAUGUCGUCUUGGAGAAUGCACGUGGCUCGGUGACAGGAUUUGGCAUCUAAAAGGACACGUGGCUCGGUGAUCCGAUGCGUCACUUUGGUAAGCGAGUACCUUAGAGAAUGCACGUGGGUCCAACAUUCCGGAAUGGCAUCUAAAAGGGCAGGUGGCUCGGUGAAUUGAUGCAUCACCUUGGUGAGAUAGCACCUUAGAGAAUGCACGUGGGCCCGGGCAUCGUAAAAAGGACACGUGGCUCGGUGGCUUGAUGUACCACCUUGGCGAAGAGGUCGCCUUAGAGAAUGCACGUGGGUCCGAGGUUUGAGGCACGUGGACUCGGAGACUUGGAAGGUCAUCCUGGAGAAUACACGUGGCCUAGCUUUUAAAUAUCCCACAGUGGGGAUUGAUUUGUUGGAAUAUAAUCGACUAGGUCGAUUUGAUCGAUGCUUCGAUCGGUGAUAUGAUUGCUUGGGUGCCUAUUAUGAAUUGUACUGACUUGCAGGUGAGAUCUGAGGCCAAGGUAAGUCCUUUGCCCUGUGCGUGUUUAGGCAGCCUUUAGUAUAAUAGUUUAUCUAAUCGGGCUUAGUGGGGUAGAACUCGCUGAGACGUAGUCUCAUCCCAGUUUGGGGAAAACCAUUUCAGGACCCCGCUGAGGAGCUGAGGAGGAGUCUGAGAAGGAGAACUCGGAAGUGAAACUUAAGGAGAAAGAUUUUUGGAAGAAGAAGAUAAUCCUGAGAAGGGCCUUGAGGACGGCCCAGGUGGACUGAGAUGUUAUCUUCUUUGAUAUCUCCAUUUUGAUGUGAAUAGAGUUUAGAAUAAAAAGUUGUGAAGUGUUAUGGUUUGUGUUUUGUAUAAAAGUUGGGUUAUAAAUUUCAAUAUGAAAAAUAUGGCCCUGCUUUUCUAUCCCAUCGUUUUAUUGUCUGGGGAUUUUAACUGCUUCCGCAUGUGCUUAAUAAAAGAAAGGGUCGGCGAUACAUUGUCCUGGGAUAUCGCAUUAUAAAAUCGACCAAGGUAGAAGGAUGUGUGCGUGCCCGAGGAUCGGGGCGUGACAUUGUGACUGAGGCUAUGAACCAGCAACUCAUUUCUGAUGUUACCCGAGAGGAAGUUAGUACUGCUCUAGGAAAAUCCCGGGCCCCUGGCCCCGAUGGUUUUAGUGGAUUAUUUUACCAACAAUAUUGGCAUAUUUUAAAAGACGAUAUAUUUUCCUCGGUGCAGCAGUUUUUUCAUUCUGGUUUAUUACCCCCUGAUCUCAACAAAACUAUCAUAACUCUCAUACCGAAAGUCCCUAAUCCAAAAAGUUUGGAUCAGUACCGACCCAUUAGUCUCUAUAAUUUCGCCUAUAAGAUUAUUUCUAAGGUGUUAGCCAACCGACUAAAGCCUUUCCUGCCUGACAUCAUCUCUAUGGAACAAAGUGCAUUUGUCAGUGGUCGUCAGAUAUAGGACAACAUUUUAAUUGUGCAGGAGACUCUACAUCAGCUUAAGACACGAACCAGAAAGAAAAAAUUCCAGGCUGUGGUCAAGAUGGACAUGUCUAAAGCCUACGACCGUGUUGAGUGGGACUUUCUCAAAGACUAUCUAUCCAGGUUAGGUUUUCAUCCAAUGUGGGUUCAAUGGACUAUGCAAUGCAUUACUACUGUUUCCUUCAGUGUCAAAUUUAAUGGCACUUAGUUACAAUAUUUCCAACCAUCAAGGGGGAUUCGACAGGGGGAUCCUUUAUCACCUUAUAUCUUUAUUCUAAUAGCAAAUAUGUUAAGUACUCUCAUCCAUCAAGCUCUCAACAUGGGUAAUCUGAAAGGUAUCCAAUUUAACAGUUGCUGCCCUACGUUAACUCACUUGUUUUUUGCCGACGAUGCUAUAUUCUUUGUAGAAGGGACACGACAAGAAUGUCAUGAGUUAGCUAAUAUUCUUAACCAGUACUGUAUGGCUACAGGACAGAUGAUAAAUCGAAACAAAUCUGGCAUUUUCUGCAGCAAAGGAUGCCCCCCCUGCUUCAAGAUAACUUAACGUAGGAACUUCGAAUCCCAAUCUUAACUAAAACAGGAAGAUACCUUGGGAUACCGUCAGAUUGGGGCAAAUCUAAAAAGAGAAAUGUUUGCUUGGAUACUAGGGAAAGUCAAUACUAAGCUAGAUGGGUGGAAAGAGAGUCUUAUUUCGAAGGGUGGUAAAGAAGUUCUCAUUAAAAGUGUUGUGCAGGCAAUACCUCAGUUUGCUAUGUCAAUAUUCAAGAUCCCUGUCUCGCUGUGUAAGUCUAUUGAAAAAAAGAUAGCAAGAUUUUGGUGGCAAAAUGAUAGUCGAAAAUCUGGAAUCCAUUGGAAAAGCUAGGAUGUUUUAAAAGCUGAAAAACAAAUGGGUGGCCUCGGGUUUCGUGACCUUGUGGCGUUUAAUAAAGCUAUGUUGGGUAAACAAGCUUGGCGUCUCCUAACUCAGCCUACCUCAUUAUGGGCGCAUCUGUUUAAAGGGCUAUAUUUUCAUUCAGGAGAUUUUUUAUCAGCAUCAAAAGGAACUCGCUCUUCCUGGGGAUGGCAGAGUAUCAUUAUGGGCAGGGAAUCCAUAUUACCUUCAACUCAAUGGUCAGUCGGAGAUGGAUCUAGUAUCCGGAUUAGAGAAGACAGGUGGCUACCGAAAGGGAAAAUAGGAGGUUAUGCUGCUGCAUAAGAACCUAAAAAGAUAUCUGAGCUGAUUGAUUCUACUACUAACCUCUGGAAUCUGAAUUUACUGAAUUGUUGGUAUGAUAGCACUACUAUUGCAGAAAUUAUUAAGAUUCCUCUUAGACCAGGCUUUGCAUCAGACCAGCUUAUUUGGCCGAGUACAUCUAAAGGAAAUUACACUGUUAAAAGUGCUUACACUAUUCUUAGCCAGGAGAGCCUCUGCAAUCCUAUAUCUAAACCAUCUUCUUCUUAUCAACCUCCUAACAUCUUAUGGAGGCAAAUAUGGAAACUCCAAAUCCCACCCAAAGUUAAAAUUUUCAUCUGGUCAUUAUGCCAAAAUGCCCUUCCCACUAAGGUUAACCUGUUUCGGCGAAAUCUCUGCCCCGAUCCCAUUUGUACCCUAUGUUCAGCUAAACAACCUGAAACCUCAGAGCAUCUAUUUUUAUUGUGUCCUUGGACUUCCCACAUCUGGUCUAACCCACAAAUCAACUGUCCCAUACAACCAGCAGAAAUUACACGUAUUGAAGACUGGCUAGGUACCAUACUUGCUAAUAAAAAAACAGUUACCUGGAUCUACGCUCAUCGCCAUGCUUCUGUGGAAUAUCUGGAAGUCCCGCAAUCGGUUUAUCUUUCGUCAUCAGAGUCCUGCUCCAUCCUUUGUUAUAGCUGAAGCUCACAGUCAGGUCUGUAUUGCUGCCAUCUCUUCUACUUCUGUGGAUCGACCGCAUCCAGAUCUGGACAGCUUAUGGCGUCCGCCUGAUUCAGGAGUUCUUAAGUUGAAUGUAGAUGGGGCUUUCAAGCCAGGGAAUGAUCGGGGAUCAAUCGUAUUCAUUUGCCGAGAUCAUAAAGGAAAAAUCAUUGAAGGACUUACCAAGACCGUAACCGCGUCGUCUGCUUUGCAGGUGAAAGCUCAAGCUUUGUGUUUUGCUUUCAAUCAUUUGAUCAACUCAAACCGAACCUCUGAUCCCGUGCUUAUUGAAUCUGACUGCCUGGUUUUGGUGGACGCCGUGCACGAUCCUCUUCUGUCGCCAUGGGAGGUUCGACCCUUCAUAGCCGAAGCUGCGUUUCUUCUUUCUCGCCUCGUCAAAUCGCGAUUUUCGUUUUGCCCUAGAACGGCCAAUGCUGCUGCGGAUUGGGCUGCUAAGGCCCAUGACAAUGGUUUUUUGAUGCCUUCUUGGGCUUCCUUUCCUCCGGCUCCUUUGCUCUAUAUUUUAGCAGUUGAUAUUUCUAGUUCUGGUUGUAAUGCUACUUUUAUAUAAUAUAUUACCAGUUCCUGACCAAAAAAAAAAAAAAAAUUGAAGCAAAUAUAAUGAAAUUCGGAGCUUGUGAAGGGGGGUUGGAUUUUGGCUUCAAAUUGGAGUAAUUUGUGGAUUUUAUUACAUGAAAGUAUUAUGAGAAAACAUUGAGAUAUUUAUGCAUAAAGAUCUAGGGGACAUGCAAUCAAUGGAUGGGAUAAGUGUUGACUUUAAGUCCCUUUUUCCAUGGCUUCAUGGACACGCUUGGCCGGUCUCUCUCUCCUUCAUGCGAGUUGCCCCCCUGACGGUGCGGAGCUGCUUUCACUUUCCUUGCUUCUCCUUCGAAAGAAACCAGCAUCUCCACGUUGUUCUCUCUCCGCCACCAGCCCGCUUCUUUCAAUUUUUCUCUCCGCCGACGGCCCAUCUUUCCCAGCCGCUGACACAUGUCUGUGGAGUCAACAGACCGGUGUCUCUUUCACCGAGGUUGACUGCUUCUCGUCCGCAGCGCCAGCUGCACGAAGUAGUCCACCGAAGACUUAGCUGCUUCAACGAAGACCAACUUGCUUCCCUCUGCUUGUUCGUGAGUCCAGCGAAGACCGAAGACUAGCAUCUUCGGUUUCGCUCCACUGAAGCCUUCACGUGCAUCCCGUGGAGUCCACCGAACCGAAGCCACACGAAGCAACUCCUCAGCCGGACGUGUCAAUUCCUCGGCAGCUCUCUUUGUCCGCCAUCAUCUACUCCUCUCGGCCCCAACGUUGAUGCCAGCGUGUCCGAAGCAGCACGUCCAGUGAAUUCGGCCCAGCACGUUCGCAUUUCUUCAGUCCGUGCAAGCCAGUCCAGCAACUCCAUUAAGCCCAUCAAGCAGCCCAGUUGAGUUCAGAGAAUUGAUUCUUCGGUCCAGCUUCAGCAAAGACAGGCCCGGUUCAACUUUAUUUCAAGCCCAUCUUCAGCAGGCCCAACCCAACUUUGGGCCCAGCCUGUUUUUGGCCCAGCAUCUCCAUCAAGCCCAGUCCAAGAAUUCAGCCAAGUCAGCCCUUUGAAGCCGGUGAAGCAGCCCAAGCCCAAGACCAAGCCCAGCAAUUGUUGUGGGCUUGCAAGGCUUGUGGGCCCGGUCCAAGUGUUCAUCGAUGUUGCCGAAAACUCGAGUUUCGGCUGCCGAAAACCCGAGUUUCAGCUGCCAUUGUGCAGUCGUCGUGGUGACCCAGUCUCUACUUUUAAUCAAGUGAGUUUUACUCACUAAUGCUUUCUUAGUUUGCUAAUUAUGCUUAAGAGUUGGUUAGAUUUAAUUAAGUGCAAUUAGGGGGUUAGAUUAGUUUAGAACAAUUAAAUUAGUGACUUAAUGAUGCAUGUUAGGUGGUUAGACGUAGUCAUUAGCAAUUAGAGAGCUCUUAUUAUUUAUUGAAUGCAUCUCGGGACUUUUCCCGACCCUCAUCAGACUUCAAUUAGGCAUUACGGGCCUAAAUUGGGUUUAUCGUAUUUAUUUAUUAAUUUUCGAAAUUAAUUUAAUUAAUUAUUUAUUUUUCGAAAAUUAGGUAGGGAUAGCCGACGACCGAAAUUUUAUGCUGAUUUUCGUGGCACAGUCCGUUUAUUUAAUUGAGCUUUAGUUUGUGUUGAAUUGAAUUAUUUGUGAAAUUGGGAAUUAUUCUUUAAUUGAAUAAUCUUUGGUUAUUAAUUGAAAAAUAACCAGGCAUCGGUUGAUAAUGGCAAAAAUAUUUGAGUAGACUACAAAAAAUGUGGGAGUUAUGUAAGGAAAAAUAUUAUAUUUUGGCUAAGACCGACCGUGUCUCCACACACGGCUACUUUAUCGAGAAUGAUAAAAAGAUGGAAUUGAUUGUAUGAUUGGGAUGGUAUACUAUAUUGACCUACGGACGAUAUGUCAGCUUAGCAGAUAGUAGUAUACCGGUAUAUUAUAUCAACCUACGGGCGAUAUGUCAGCUUAGCAGAAAGCAGUAUACCUUAUGAGUUUUGAUCGAGAAUGUCGGUAUACUAUAUCAGCCUAAGGGUGAUAUGGCAGCUUAGCAGAGAGCAGUGUACCUUAUCAGUUUAUAUUGAAUAUGUUGGUAUACUAUAUCAUCCUACAGGCUCUGAUAUGGCAGCUUAGCAAAGAGCAGUAUACCUUAUCAGCUUAGAUUGAGCAUUGUCGGUAUACUAUAUCAGCCUACGGGCGAUAUGGCAGCUUAGCAGAGAGCAGUAUACCCAAUAAUCUCAGAAGCGAGCUAUACUAUCUAUUUAUCAGUUUAGCAUUGAGCAGUCCUAAUAUGAACGAACUUAUAGAUAAUAUGAGAUGAGUCGACCAAGAAACGGUCGAGAUGACAUGUAAUCGACUAGGUCGAUUGAUCAUUGCUUUGAUUUGAUGUCGUGAAUUGAUUGAUUGAAUUGAAAUGACUGAUGAAUGGUCCGAUUGACAUGAAAUCGACUAAGUCGAUUGAUCGAAUAUCGAUAUGUGAUGUGAUUGCUUGGGUACCUAUUGAACUGUGCUAAUAUGCAGGUAGAAUCUGAGGCCAAGGUAAGUCUUCUGACCCGUGCGUGCAUAGGUAGCCCGGUUAGCGUAUUAGUUUACUAAUCGAGUCUUAGGGGGUAGAACUUGCUGAGAUGUGGUUUCAAUGGUUAUUGAAUAACCAUUUCAAGACCCUGAUGAGAAGCCUGAGAAGGAGGAAUCUGAAGAGGAGAACCCUAAUGUGGAACUAAAUGAGGAGGAAGAUUUUGGAGAAGAAGAUGACCAUGAGGAGGAUCCUGAGUACGAUCUGGAUGAGGACUAAGAUCCCAUCCUGUUUUGUCAGACCUUGAUUAUAUGUGGAUAGGUAUUAGAUUAGACCCCUGUGAAUAGUAUUGCAUUAUAUGCUAUGAGGCGCCUGUAUAAAAGUGUGGUUGUGAAUUUCAGUAUGAAAAUUAUGGCCCUACUUUUCUAUCCCAUUGUUUUAUUAUUUGGGGAUUUAUAAUUGCUUCCGCAUGUGCUAUUGAAAAAGAAAGGAUCGGCGAUACGUAGUCCUGGAAUAUCGCAUUUUAAAAUCGACCAAAGAUGAAGGAUUGGCACGUGACCGAGGAUCGGGGCGUGACAGUGAAAGCAAAAGAGUCACUUCCACCGAAUCUUUCCAAGUUAAUAUAAAAUCAGUUACACCUUACUUGACAUUGCUAAUCCCAAGCUAAAGAAGAUAAUUUGCAGAAAGUAAUCAUACAUUUGAGGAGCUAAUAGUACCGGACCUUCUUCCUCCUUUAUUUAAAACGAGUUCAAUUAUAAAACCCAAGCACAAGAUCAUUUUCUAGAGCUCAAGACCUCGCAUCAGUUCAUUAAUUCAAUUAAAUAAUUGGAUGCGAGUUCUCUUCUCAUUACUAUAUUAGUUUACUAAAUGAAGAUUUCAAGUUUCAAGUUUAACAUCAAAUUAGCUCAAAAAAUUAAAUUCUUCAAAUCAUGGGUGCAAGACAAAUUUGACAAUUUAUGUGGGCCACCAAAUUCCUCUCUGGAAGUGACUUCUAUCAAGCCAUUGCACGAUUCUCUUUUGGUGCUAUUUGUUAUGUCAUUUGGAAGACUGGGAAUAAUAUCCUCUUUUGGGGCCAAGCCUUGUUUAUUCUAGCUUUGAAGCAACAUCUCAUCAUAGUUGUCGAGGAAAAGACUCUCUCCUUCAACCACAUUGCGGAUACUCCAAGGAAUAAGCGGCUACAACGGUGUUGGGGACUCGAUCCCUCUAUCUUCUCUCUUGGAGCGGCGGAUCUUCAUUUGAGGACCUAAGUGUAAGUUUCCUUGUUGUUUUGAUGUGAGGGUUGCAACUGUGUUGCUGUUCCUGUUCCUGAUGUGGGUAGGACUCAGCGUAGGUGGGGGCUAGAUCCAGUUCUUCGAAGGUUGCCAUCGCUUGAUGCUGUGAGGGUUGCCGCUGUCUUGCUAUCUGGUUUCCGUUUCCUCUUUCCCUUCUUGUUUGUUGCCGUUGCUUGGCUGCUUGUUGCCGCCGUUUGGUUGCCGCUUUUUGGCUGUUUGUAUUUCCUUUUUUCUUGACACCCUCCCACUCGUCAUGACUUGUUUGUCAUUAUAAGUGUAAGUUUUUGGUGUUGUGAACCCCCUACUAUAUAGUUUUGGUUAAAAGUCAAUAUAAUUCUUACCUUACCGAAAAAACAAAAAAAGACAAAUUUGACAAUUUAUUUAUAAACUGGUGAAUCAUUAGUGGGUUCUUCAUCACUUGCUCCUCUUUAAUGUAAUUGGCGGUGAAGCUUUCCAUAAACAUAAAUCAGACGGCUGCUGUCAUAGUUCACUUGCUUUUAAUAUCAAAGCUUUUAGCCCUCGAGUUUCAAGAAUGCUCUCACGAAUUAUACGACAAAUUGCAAAACCGUAAUGCAAAAUAGUUUACAUAACUACUAGCUUAUUUUGGGGAGAGGUUAGAUAUUUAAACUUAAAUAUCUCAUAUCCUAUGAUUAUCAAAAUUAGACUUUGUUUGGAAUUUCGAAACAACCAUAUAAAUUAUUAGAACAGACUUAAGUUAAGAUGGUAACUUAGUCUAGAAUCUGUUACUCAAGUUUCACAAAUAAAUAUUGUUAAAUUACUCGAAGAGUCGAUUAUUUGGGAAAGCGUUUGGUGACUAUAAAUAGUUAAUAAGCUCCUAAAAAAAGAUGUUGGUGGAUUAUAGGAAUACUCAGCACUUCUGAAACAAUCAAAGAAACGUUGGUAAGUAGAUUCAAAUAACAAUUGGUAAUUUCUUACAAGAGUUGAUGACCUUAAUACAUCAAUAAGCUUUCACUAUGAAUCUAGGUAAAUUAUUGGAACAAUUGAUAAUUCAAAUGUACUUUGGUAUGACUCAAAUAAGAGUGGGCAACUUCAUGUAAGAGUUGGUAACUCAAGCUUCACAAAAAAAAAAAAAAAAAAAAUUGUUAAGCUAUUGAAAAAGUCAUGUAAGGUUUAAAGGUGUUGGUAAUUUUUUGCAAGUCUUGGUAACUUUAACCAGUUGGCAAUCUCCACUAAUAAAUAUCGUUAAAUUAUUGGAAUAGUUGAUACUUUUAAACUAAUCAAAUACCGACAGAAAAAUAAUCAAAUAAACUUUGGUAAGUAAUCUGAAACAAAGAGUUGCUAAUUUUGUAUAAGAAUGAGUGAUUUUAACACAUUUUAUGAUCCACAAUUAAAUGUCCUUAAAUUAUUGGAACAAUUUUUGAAAAAAAUCAAAUAAACAUUGACAAAGUAUUAAAAUAAAGUUGGUUAUUUCAUAUAAGAUUCUAUAAUUUAAGCUCUACAAAUAAUUUUUAGUCAAUUAAUGGGAGAAUUGGUAAUUUUGAAAUAAGUGGAAAUUUUGUAUAAGAAUUGGUAAAUUUAAACCAAGUCUUGAAAUAUAGGUUGGUGAACUAUUGAUAGAGGUAGGAAAUUUUGUGGCAAUUAGAUAAAUGUCGGCAAGUAGACUCAAAUAAGAGUUAGUAAUUUCAUAUAAUAAUUAGCAGUCUCACUGGUUGGUGAGCUGUGCAAAUAUAUGUUGGUAAAUUAUUGCAACAAUUGGUAAUAUCGAAAUAAUUAAAUAAAAGUGAACAAGUGACUCAAACAAAAGCCGUUAAGCUCAAGUUAUUUAAUUGGGGAAAGAUGGGUAAGUCACUUAAAUUAAAGUUGGUAAUUUUGAAUAAAAGUUAGUAGCUUACCACAUUGGUAACUUAUACAAGCUAAUAUUGAUAAUUAGGAAAACAAUUAGUAAUGUUGGAAGUAGAGAUAAACAUUGGUACUUUCAAAUAAUUAUCAAUAUUAAUAUUUAAACACCAUCACCACCGCCUUGGUGGCUGCGAUGAUUUGCGCUCUCUUUCUCUCACGAAUGAGAGGGGUUCGAAUCUCCUCACGGUCACUUGGGGUUUUAAGUGGGAUGCUGGGGGUGUUGGGUCCUCCCACUUACGUGUUCCCCCAGGUUUACUCGCCAGUUACUGGCUGUACGGAGUUCCUGGGUCACCAAAAAAAAAAAAUGAUUAAACAUCAUUUGUGAAAAGAAGAAUAAUGUCUCUUUGUUUUCUAAAUGUCGAAAAUGUGAUGACUCCCUCGGACGAUUAAAAAGCCAAGCGCUGGUAGUCGAUAAGAAGAAGCAAAGUGCUACAUUGCCAAAGAAGAUUAUUGGGGAAACAAAAGAAAAAAGCAGGCCUAAAAAAGAGAGUAAAUCUAACAUAAAUCCAACAUGUUCUUAAAAUAACCCUUGAGAAAUGUGUUACCAAUGUUUGAACGUAAAAUCCAUACCCUUAAAUCUGUUUUUAUUAUUGGUGCCAUAAGGAUGGUAAUUUCUAACACGAAUUAACAUAUUUAUAUACUAUUAUGUGGAUAAUUCGAAAGUGGGAAAAAUGAUCAAACCAGCCCCAAACCUAUUUUAAUUUUUCUUAUAAUUGUAUCAGUUCAGUCUAUCUGAUCAAAUUUGGCUGACAAGUGCUGAUGUAUCAAUUUUUUAAAUAUUUUAUUUAUUUAUUUUCUUCAUUUUCUUUUUUCUUUCUCUCUCUUUUUUUUUCUCUCUCUCUCCUCCUUCCUUCUUACUCCUGCUGGUCAUUGGACCUCAGGAAAGCCUAGCCCAACUAGGGUGAGGUUGACCUCAGUGAUCGGUUGGGGAAGAGAGAGAGAGAGAGAGAGAGAGAGAGAGGACAAUAAAAAUAAAUAAAUAAUCAAAAAAUAAAAUAAAUAUUUAUAAUUGAGACAUCAUUAUUGAUAGGAUGGCCAGUCAAAAAAUAAAUUAUAUAUUUAUAAUUGAGAUGUCAUUAUUGACAGGAUGGCCAGCACCGGCUAGUGUCCACCUUAACACUAGCCAGCCAAAUUUGAUUGAAUUGACUGAAUUAGUACAAUUGCAAAAUGUUUAUAACUGAAUUAGCUAAAAAGAGAAAUGUUUAUGAUUGAAUUGGAAAAAUUGUAAUAGAUUUAGAAUUGGUUUGGUAACUUUCCCUUGAAAAGUGACACAAAUUUAAUGCAUGCAAAAUUUAUAGCAUAGUUAACAACAAUAUAGUAUUUUCCAACUACAUGAAUUGACACAACAGCGAAAUUCAAUUAAGACACUUAAAUUCAAACUACCAAUCCUUAUGACAACAUAAUAUAAUCAUUAAUAGCAAGCAACACGUAGUUUAUGUGAUGAUCUUUUUAAACACAUAUGCUCUAUGCCACAUACACGAUAAACCUCUUUUAUUCUCUUCUCAUUCUCUCUCUCUCUUUUUUGGCCCGGGGAGGUGGUGUUUGUCUUGCUAUAUAUCGGCUCCUUUUUGUAUUUUCACUUUAUUAUCAUAUAUAUGAUGUUUGUAAUAACAUGUCUUUAUUCCGUUCUUUGUCGGGAAAAAGAAAGAAGAGAAAGGAGAAUACUUGCCUAAAUGAUAGCAUCUUCAAUCUUGAUAGUUAACAAAAGACAACAUAAAGGCUUGAGGCAUAGAUAGGAUGUGUGUACAGUGGGUCGUGAAACCUAUGCUAGAUCACAAAUAGAAAAUAUGAUAGAAAUUUAGGCUUCAUUUGUUUCAUAGAAAAUCUUUUCCAAAAAAAACAUUUUCCAAAUUUUUUUGUUUUUGUUUCACGGAAAAUGAAUUGACUUAGGAAAACAUUUUCCAUGAAGGGAAAAAAAAUCUUCUAAAAUGGGGGAAAAUAUCUUCCACUUUUCAAAUAAGGAAAACAUUUUCCUUACUCACUCUUUCUUAUCUCACACUCUCACUAGUCCCCACUUCUUCCUCUCUCUCUCUCUCUCUCUCUUUAAUGUUUUAUUUUUAAAAAAAGUUCAAAUUUUUACUCUCUCUCUCUCUCUCUCUCUCUCUCUCUCUCUCUCUCUCUCUCUCUAAUUUGUUAUUUUUUAAAAAAAAAAUUCAAAUUUUUAUUACUUUUUCUUUUUAUUUUUCUUUACGGCCAGUGAUUGGCCAAGGGUAGAAGAAGAGGCAAAAAAAAAAAGAAAAAAGAAAAAACAUAUAGAAAAAAUAAAAAAUUUAAAAAUCGAUUUUCUAAAAAAAAAUUAUUAAAAUGAGUGCAUGGAGGAAAAUCAAAUUGACUUUUCCAAAUAGAAUUGGCAGAAAAUAUUUUCAAGUUUCAACUGAAUAUCGGAAAAUAUAAUUAUUUUCCUGGAAAAUGGCUUUUUGGAAAAUAUUUUCCAAAAACGAUGCAUUUUUCAUAAAACGAACGGAACCUUAGUUAGAGCAAGUUUCUUAAAAGGUGAUGUAUUAUUAAGGAGUUAAAAAAUAUACUUUAGGAGUCUGGAGACGUAUUCGUGCAAAGCAUGGGUUCCACACCAGUAUUCAGAUGUAAGUAGUCCCUGCCAAAUUUAGCCGAAUACUUUUCUUUUCGUACCCCAAAGAUUGUGUUGAUUGUGAGAUGGAUUCCUUUGGCAAGAGCUAGCUAAGUUCGCAGUUAAUAUACCUUAUGACAUGAGUCAAACGACUUCUCACAUAAUGAAUUGAAGUUCCAUUACGAAACGAGCAUAACAUGUGAAAUCUGUUAAAGCGGCGAUUUUCGUGGAUUGAUGAUCGAGUUGAAGAAGCCAGCUUCAUGUUAUCCUCGAUAACAACAACAGCCAUAAAACGGUCGACACUUAUAUAAUUGUCGUUGAUAAGGUUGUUGUUGAGCUCAGAAGUAAGAAGUAGAAGUUUUUGAAUUCCCCUUCAAAAAGAAGGAUUUUGGAGGAUUUUAAGCUGGAGGAAGAAUCUCAAGGUGAGCAUGUCUUCCGUGAUGAUGGAGAAAUCAUUUUACAGAAAAGCGCCCCCCCUCCCUACCCCCACACACACCCCCAAAACCCAUGUUGAUCCGAAUUUAGGUACAAAUGAGAUCUAGUCACAGGAAUUUGGAGAGAUAGAAUAUCGAAAGAAGAACAGAAGAAUCAAUUAUUGAUUUCAUAAUGACAGGCAAUUGAAAAAAUCAAUCGAUGGAUCGACAUUAUAGUUCGGUUGGGAUCUUUUAUUAGAGCAAGAAAUUUUGAUUGAUUCCGUAGAUAUGGUUCCAAAUUCCAAGAGGAUUUUGGCACAUAUGCUUUAUUAAAUAACCUGACAUUUCAACCAAAAAACAAAAAAUGGGGGCCGAGAUUUUUUUUGUGAUAAUGGGAGAAUAAUGGGAGAUGCCUUAAGUUUGGAUUUACAUCUUUUAUUUGAUGAAUUUAGGAUAGGGAAGUCUAAUAUUUCCUCCUUUAAUCAAGUUCGUUGAGGAUAUUCACUAAGUAUAUUACAUAUAAGUUUAUUAUUUCUAUUAUAUUUAAGUUUUUGAAUGAGUUGAUAUAUAUUAUUUUUUAUUGGAAGAUACCACAUGAUCAAGUUGAUAUUUUAGGUUUUCCUAGGCUUUUGUUAUAUUCUCAGCAUUUCUUUUUCCGUUACUUUAUCUGGUAAUAAUUUUUAGAGAAAGGGUUACAACCUUAUCAAUUUGUUAUAUAGGAUCAUGCAGUUUGCCUUUUUCUAGAAAUAAAAAACCUGAAGAGAUUUCUGUCUGUGGGUUUUGUGCGUGUACACUUUGGGCAUUCGUGUUUGCGAGUUGCAACUCAGUGCUUUUUGUUUUCACCUCAUCAAAGUUGAAGUAGGAAAAAUAGCUAUUUGAAGGCUCGACUUCAAGCAAGACUAAAAAGAGUAGUCCAGUUCUUACAAACCUCAAGACUAGAAACAUAGAUGAUAUUGCGCAUGCGAGAAGAAUACUUAAUAGAUGAGUUCAUUACACGCAACUAAUAAGAAGAGUCCAGCUCUUGCAAACCUCAAGACUAGAAACCUAUAGAUUAUAGUUGCACACGCAAGAAGAAUACUUAAAAAGUAAAUAAUACUUGCGAACUAUUUCCGGUUCUUCAAUUCUAGGAAGUUGCCGAUUUGUCUCCCUGGGGAAUCGAUUCCACGUACUAAUCGGUCGUAGUUGCGCCACUUUUUCGUGGGGAACGCCCACGAGAGGAGCAUCACGACAAAAAGAAGCGCCGUUAUGGCGUAUCCUGCGAACUCAUCGGAUUUCGGGAGUUCAGUGAAAAGGGUAGCAAAGUAGACGACACCGACAUAAAGCGUUAACGAGUAAACAAGGUUACUGUGGGGCAAUAGGGGAGCAGCGGUCCAACAGAUUGUGACGAUGGACAACACGAAAACCGAACUGUUGAGGGCCAUGAACUGGUAUAGAUUUGAGCCGCUCAAGAUCAUUUUCCCGGCUUGAUGUGGUUUUUCAGCAGCAAUGCCGCUGGAAUUGGCAGUAACGACAGUGGAUUUGGCUCGGGAAUUUGAAGAGUUAUCCCCCCAGUAUCCUCCUGGAGGGCUGAACGCAGCUUGGUAAGUGGCGGUCGUAAUCAAGGUAGCCACGAGAAGGAUUAUAUCGCGAAUAGAUUCAUCUCGGAGGCCGUAUUUAAAUACAAAAUUCUCAUGGUAAGUUAGUUUCCUCCUUAAAAACUGUGAUAAAGAGUGGUUGGGAUCACGAGAACGUAACUCCUUUGCAAGAUCUUGAUUGCCACUACGAUUCGGUUGGUAGAUUUCCAAAGCCAUCUUAUCCUGGUAGUUCUUUGCAUUUAACUUGAUACUCCCCCUUAACAGCUUGAUGAUCUGGAAGAAAUGCAAAGGGAACAAAAUGAAGUGUUUAUCCCUUUAAGCACAAUCACUGCUUUGUCUCUUGCUUUACUGUUGUGCAUGAAAUGAGCUCAUGCCAUACAAGUUUGAGCGAUACUAGGGAUGCAAUGACCAAUGUACCAUGAGAACAAAAUCUUAUUUAUCAAAUGCAGUCAUUUCAACCCAUGUAAUGAAGUCCCAAAUGUUUUCAAAAAGUGAGAUUUGGUCAUCUCACUAGAAUAAUUAAUGUGAUAGCUAGGAAUUUGCCAUGAGAGUUGUAACAUUGGCGAAUUCACUAGAGUGCCAACCUGAACGGCUCUGAUUUUUCAUAAAAGUUUGAGACUUAAUCAAGUCAAUUAAAAUAAUCAAGUCUAUUGAAAAUUUUAGGAUUCGAUCACAUUUUGUACAUGAGUUCUUUUCACUAUGAAAAGAAAGACUACCUUAGACAAGUGUGUUUAUAUGUUUUAUACAUAAAAUUCAACUUGUUGGAGAGUAAUUUUCCCUUUCACAAAGUGAUUAUUUUAUGUUUGUGUCAGAUUGUCCUUGUUAGCUUCAAUUUCACUAGCUUCUAUCAUGUCCACUAUGUUCGGAUGAUGGAUUGAUUUUGAAAGGAGGAAAGAGAUUUUAUAGGGGUUCAAAGGGAAACAAUCUUUAUCAGACCUUUCCACUGAAAAAAACUGUAAACAAGGUGAUCUCCAUUUUACCCCUUUGUUUUCCUUCCUUUCUCGAUAUAUCCGCCAGCCAUACCAUUGUUAAGGACAAUUAAAAUGAACUCAAAUUAGAAGCAUCACCAGCAGAAAGUAUCCCCAUUAGCAAUUUUUAAAUGAAACUGUGGACUUAGUUUCGAUAAAACUGAAAAAUAAGGACAAUGCCAAUAUUCUUAAGCGCUGAAAAUUGAAACGAAAAAUUAUUUGAUAAUAAUUAGAAUUUCAUUACCGAAUAUGAUUAUCAUAUAUUAUCAGAACUACUUUAAUUGGUUCCCACACUUCUCGAACUACAUUUUGUGUACUAUUUUAGUAUUUUGCUUCGUUCGCUUUUAUUAUUUCUUGAUGGAAAAAUGGCUUUAGUAUUCAGGCAGGCCAUUAAUUGCAAAUUGUACGAUCACUCCUGAUUUAUAUGAAGCAAACCCUACCCGUUAUAAGCAAAAUUAUCUUUGGGUUGAUGAAUUUAUUCACUUAUUCCAUCUCUCACUUAACAAACGUAUGAGAGUCGAGGCAAUAGAUAAACAAAACUGUGCAUAAAUCAAUAUAAUAAUCAACUUGAUAAGGAGUCAGCAGAUCGAGACGGAACUUGAUAAGGAGUUUACAAACAUAUGACAGAUUGUCAACUUUUAUAUUAUUAUAAUUCAACAGUUAACGAUUUUCAUUCUUAAUAAAUAUUACAAUAUGAUAAUGCACUUAACAUAUGGGUUUUCACUAAGUUAAUUGGUAUAAGAUUGAGAUUGAAAUCUUUGAUAAAUUUAUUUUUAAUAUAGAGAUACCUGAAAAAUAUGGUGAUAAUAUAUAUCAGUGAUCACAAGUGAUUUAAAAAUGUGUUAGAUUUUUCCUUGUGAAGGCUUUAAUGAGAUCCAACUACCACAAUAUUCAGCUAUAAUAUGUCAGAUUUCCUAAUCAAUCAUUUUUGCUGGUCAUUUUCUUGUGUUUCUGGUGGAUCACUCCAGGCAAGUAAAUUUAUGGACACUUCUACAGUGUAAAACACCAUACCAUACUACUUCACAUGUCAAUCAGCCGAUAGACAUUUAUCAACAAAUGUUAACCAUUAAAUUAUGUUACUAUAAAACAUACCGUUGCACAAAAAGUUGUUCAAAUCUCCUCUCUCUGUAUGUUUCUAAAUCCAUGUACUUUCAACCCCUAGUGUUUCACUAUCAUAACAUUUGGUCUUGAAUUAGAUAAUGUCAAGUUCAAGGAUCAAACAAUAAAAACAAGAACAACGACAAAAUUGAUGGACCAUACCUGAGGGUGAUCUUCAGACACAGCAAUAUGUAAAACGGUGUUACCAUUUUUGUCUUUCCAGUUCAAAAUUUCAGUCAAAUAGACUCACUUAAGCCAUCCAAGCAACACCUCGAAUGCUUCGAGAUUGUGAUUCUUGACGGCAACGUGAACUGCAGUCUCACAUUGGCUUGUCAAGUCUUCGAUAGAAGAUUUGCAAGCAGAUAGAAAUUCAGCCAGGAGUUCUAGGAGCUCCACGUUAUCCUCCUCUUUGUCUCUUUUUUCCCCAGCUACAAAAUGCAAGGGAGUGAUCCCACAUCGUCCUUGGACUCGGAUCAAUUUGGGGUCAAGGGUCAUCAGUGUCCUCACGGUGUGAUAAUGUUCGUGUUGCAAAGCCAAGUGCAUAGGACUAUAACCCUUUGGAUUCAGCUUUCGAGCGAACGAUGGCUUCAAAAUGGCCAUCUCCAUGGCCACAUUGGUUUUUCCGGCAGCUGCGGCGAUGUGUAGUGGAGUAUUUGGGAAGGGGUGCUUAGAUACACGAUCUAAGAGCUCUCGCUCCUCCACAAUUAAGUUAUGUAGCUCAUCAACAUCAUCAUUUGCUAUUGCUUGUUUAAGCCAAGACUCCCUAGCAUCCUUUUCUUUUUUCUGGGGCAGACCCCUGGCCAUCUUGUUUCUAGGGAAAUGUAGGAGCAAGAGGGGCUUUGCUCAGUGAGGAUUGGUGGAAGUAACGAACUUGCAAAAUCAUAUAUUAUAUGGUGCCACGGUUAACAAAUAUUUAAUUAACUGAGUUAACAAGUCUACAGGUGGGCUCAAUGGCAAGUCAGGGGUGAGUGGGGCCCAACAUAUCUUAGAUUUGCCGUGAUAUAUGCAAUGCUUGUGAAAUGAGUGGAUGCAAUGCAUACUCAUUUGUAAAGCUGCAUUAUUCUUUGCUUGAUCUCAUAGGAGCGGUGAUUUUGCUUGCGGGAGAGUUCUCUCUCCCCUGUCAAUCCCCUUUUUUCGUCUCUUUUAUUUCUCCAUGUAAAAUAAAGACCGAAUAAUGCUCAAAGUAAAAUAAGUAAAGAAAAAGAAAAGUAAAAGUGCCACUUCCUACCAUUAACCCAUCGAAUCUUUCUCAGGUAAUAGAAAAGCUUUCCCGUCUUACUUGUUAUUGCUAAUCCCAAACUAAAGAGAUAAUUUGCAGAAUUUAAUCAUACAUUUGAGGAGUUAAUAGCACAAAACCUACUUUAAAUCAUGGAAACAAAUUCUUGACUUGUUACCAUAGUGAUUUAUUGAAUGAAGAUUUUGAGUUUCAAAUUUAGCAUCGAAUUAGCUCGGGAAAAUAAAGCUCUUUAAAACAUGGAUGCUCAACAAAUUUGACAAUUUAUUUAUGAACCGGUGAGUCACUAGUGGGUGCUUCAUUACUUGCUCCUCUUUAAUGUAAUUGGCAGUUGAGCUUUCCAUGGUCACAAAUAAGAUGCAUACUGAUAAUAGUUCACUUGCUUUUUAUCUCAAAGCUUUUAACCCAAAAUUUUCAAGAAUGCUCUCGAGAAUUAUAACUACAUAUUGAAGAACCGUAAUGCAAAAUUAGUUUACAUAGCUAAUAGCUUACUUUGUGGAGCAUUUAGUUAUUUAAAUUUAAAUAUCUCAUAUCCUAUGACUAUCAAAGACCUAACUCUAGUCGGAGUUUCGAAACAAGCAUAUCGAUGAUGAUAACUGACUCAAAUAAGAUAGUAACUUUGUUCUAGAGUCGGUUACUCGAGCUUCAGAUAUAAAUAUUGAUAAAUUAUUUGAAGCGCUAGUUAUUUUGAAAAGUGUUUGCUAUCCAUAACUAAUUGAUAAGCUCCUAAAUAAAGCAUGCGUAAACUAUAGGAAAGUUGAUACUUUUGAAACAUUAAAAAAAAAAAAAAUGGUAAGUGGGCACAAAUAAGAAUCGAUGAUUUUGCAUAAGAGUUGAUGAGCUUAAAACGUCGGUCAGCCCUGCCAAUUAAUCCAAGUGAAUUACUGGAACAAUUAAUAAUCUGGAAAUAAUUAAAUGUACAUUGGUAUAACUCAAAUAAGAGUUGGUAACUCAAGGUUCAUAGAUAAAUUUGUUAAGAUUUUGAAAAAGUUGGGUAAGAUUUAAAACUGUUAGUGAUGUAGUACAGGUAAUGGUAACUUUAUCCCAUUGGUAAGCUCCAUAUAUAAAUAUUGUUAAAUUACUGGAAUAAGUUUGUAAUGUUUAAACGGCCAAAUAAACUUUGGCAAGUGAACCCAAAUAAGAGUUGAUAAUUUUGUAUAAGUAUGGUUGAUUUUAACAGCAUUUUUAAGAUGAUAAAAAAAAUGUCCUUAAAUUAUUGGAACAGUUGGUAAUUUUUGAAAAAAGAAAACAUCGAUAACUGAUUGAAAUAAAGUUGGUAAUAAGAGUUUAUAAUUUAAGAUCCACAAAUAAAUGUUAACAAGUUAUUAAGGGAAUCAGUAAUUUUGAACUAAGUUCAUAAUUUUGUAUAAAAAUUGGUAACUUUAACUCACUGAUAAGUUCUGAAAUAGAUGUUGUGAGCUAUUGGAAAAGUUGGUCAUUUUGUGGCAAUCAAAUAAACGUCAGUAAGUGGACUCAAAUAAGAUUUGAUAAUUUUAUAUAAUAGUUAGUAGCAUUAUCAGUUGGUAAGCUGCGAAAAUAAAUGUUGGUAAAUUAUUGCAACAAUUGAUAAAUUCAAAACAGUUAAUUAAAAUUGAACGAGCGACUCAAACAGUGGUUGUUAAGCUAAAAUUAGUUGUGACUUAAUGGAAGAAAAAUGGGCAAGUCACUUAUGGUAAUUUUGAAUAAAAGUUAGCACCUUAUCAUGUUGGCAAGUUAUACAAAUUAAUGUUGAUUAAUUAUGAAAACAAUUAGUAAUCUUGGAAGUACAGAUAAACAUUGGCACUUCCAAAAAAAUGGCUGGUGAAUCAACACUGUGUUACUGGCUAAAUAAGUAUACAUAUCAAGGAUCAAUCAACAUUUGCCAAAAGAACAAUAAUAUCUCACUUUGUUUUCUCAAAGUUGAAAUCAGAAGAUAAAAAAAGCAAAGUGCUGGAAAUCGAUUGAAAAAAAGAAAAGCAAAGUGCUAAAUUUUCUUUCACAUGUGUAACGUUGGAAUUAUCAUGUCUUUAUCCGUUUUUUGUGGGGAAAACAGUAGAAAAAUGAGAAUUCUUGGAGAGAAGAAGUACAUUGCAUACUUGACUAGUUAAUUAGCUUCUUCAAUCUUUUGGCUAACAAAAGAUAGAAUAAAGGCCAUAGGCAAAGAUAUCAUGUUAGAAGUGCUAAAAGUUGUGUACGGCGCUCACUUUGGUGCCGAAAGUUUAUUUUGAAUCACUUGAGUGCCAACAAAUUUGAAAUACGAUCAUUUCAGUGCCAACGCUGAUCUAAUUAGCUAGAAAUCCGAUGCGACACUUUUUUUAUUAAUUUUUUAAACUGAUGUGGCUCGUUAGAGAGUAUAGUCAGCAUCCAAACAACAAAACAAUGACGUUUAGUGUCUCUCCCCCAAGUAAGGACCCUAAAUCCCCAAAUUGAGAGUGAGAGAGAGAGAGGCAUGCCCCCCCUGUCUUCUUCCUCGAAGAACAACACCAGCAGCGGCAAAGACACCAGCAGUGGCACCUUCGACCCCCCCUUCCAUGUCCUCCUCCUCCGCCCUCACUUCCUAUUCUUCCCAUCACUUCUUGCUUGAGCAACAACCUCAGCCUCUCGUUGCUUACCUAGUUGAGCAACUAUGAUGGUGGCCAAGCGACGGUAGUCGAGGGAUGGCGGGCGAACAACGGUGGCCGAGUGACGGAGGCAUGGGCUCCCCCCUUGUCUUCUUCCCCGAAGAACAACACCAGCAGCGGCAACAACACCAAUAGUGGCACCUUUGACCCCCCUUCCAUGUCCUCCUCCGCCCUCACUUCCUAUUCUUCCCAUCACUUCUUGCUUGAGCAACAACCUCUGCCUCUCGUUGCUUACCUAGUCGAGCAACUAUGAUGGCGGCCAAGCGACGGUAGCCGAGGGAUGGCGGGCGAACAACGGUGGCCGAGCAACGGUGGGCGAACAACGGCGGUUGACGUUGGGCAAGGAUUGGACAAAGAACCCUAAUUUCAGUCCCCAUAUGAGCUAUGCAGCAUCGUUUUUGUGAGGCUGUUCACGUAUGACGGCAAAAUGAUGUCAUUUCUUAAGGAGGAUGGGAAACGACGUUGUUUAAAAGCCACCACAACUUUUUUUUUUUAAAAAAAAUAUGAAAGCCAUGUAAUUAAUUUGGCUGGAAUCUCUCGCCAAUGACACCAAAAUGAUCGUUUUUUCUCUAAUUUGACAUUUAAGUAAUCCGAAUGAAACUUUUAGCACUAAAGUAAGCACCAUACACAACUUUUGGCACUUCUAGUGUACUUUCUCCUAUCAUAUAAUAUCAUGUAUGUACUAUCCAUGUCUUUAAUUUGUUAGGCUCCUGCCUCAUUAAAAGUGUUUCUUUCUUUCUUAUGAUGGCGUUGGCACAGGGCAAGUAAUUCAAAUCUGCCCGAGUCAUCCAUAUUUUCAGCCGAGACUAAAUUAAUCACUUGUUGGACCAUCAAUUCACAUAUUAAAGGUUCAUCCUGUUGUCUGCCCUACCACACAAAAGAAAACAAAGAAGACCAAUAGUUCACACCCAUUUUGGAAAGAGCACCUUCUCACAAGUGGACGCAAUUAUUCUUUAUGUUCGAAAAAUGAUUAUGAAUUGCUAUUUAAUCGAUCGAUUGAGAUCCUCUAGACAUAAAGUCACCACCUAUAUCUAUCUUCUUAAGAGGUUAAUACUUUACUACACAUGCUACUGGCUAUUUAAAUUUGUUGUCCCUUUUUUUAAAAAUCUUUUCCUUCGUUAUUCCUUUCUUUCCUGUUCCCUUCCCGUUACUGCCCCUCGCCCUCUAUCUCUCAGAAAACAACCCCUGCAAUAAAACCCACAUCACAUAAACCUAUUGAGAAGAUGCAACUUAUCAAAUAAAAUCUGCAUAUAACAAGUUAUGUGGAUUCAGAUUUUCCCGUCACUUGGAUAGACUGAGGUUUUUGACAGGUUAUGUGUUCAUGUUUUAAGGGUCGUCAGUUAGAAAGUGCUGUUAUAGCCGAUAGUUGCUUUGUCGACAGUUGAAGCAGAGUACAUGAUGUCAUUUGAGGCAAUCAAGAAAGUUAUUUGGCUAAGAGUUUUGCUCAAUCAUCUGGAAUUGUUGUAGGAGAAGGUUGUUAAUUACUGCAACAAUUAGAGUGCAAUACAUUUAGCCAAAAAUCAAAUGUAUCUCAAGUAGGCGAAACACAUUGGUGCCAAAAACCAUUUUAUACGUGUUAUUGUGUCAUAAGGAACCACAUUCAUUGAGAAAGUGCACACAGAAAAUAAUCUAAUAAAGCAUUUGCCAUUGACUAAGUUCCAUUACUAUUCAGACUUGGCUAGCUUCUACAAUAAGUGAGAAGCCCCAUAGGGGUUUAGGAGAAACGACAACCGGUGAUAUGAAAUUGAACUUCUUACUAAAAUGGAGAUUCGUUGGUCAUGGCUCGAAAUUAAUUCAGAUUAUUUUUGCCCAAGAAAAAAAAAUUCAGAUUGUUUUGAAAUUCGGUCUAUAAUUGAACACAAGGAAACUUAGGCCAUAUCAUUGGAGUCUUCCCAUAGAAUUGUCAGUGAUGAAAAAAAAGAAAUUAAUUUCCGCAAGACUUCUUUUCUUCAUUGAUGAUGAAGCCCACGUUGACAUCCGAGAAGAGCUUUAUGGUUGUUUUGCAUAUAGAUAAUUUUGUUGUUGAGUUUGGUCUCGGAUGCAUUAUGAGUAUGUUUAACGUAUAUGAAAAUUUGCAAGAGAUAUCAAGAGCAUCGAUAACCUUCAUCCAAGAGAAUGACAGUGCAAUAAAAUUCCUCCUUCUGUAAUUGAUUCUUGUAAGUUCAGGUUUAAGCUAGAAUUGAAAAACACUUAAGAGUGAGUGUAAUUGAACGAUUCUAAUAUCUUCUUUACUGAUUAUAUUGGAACUAUCUUAUCGAUCUCUUCCCAUAUAGUAGGCACAAAGCUGACCUCAUUAAUCCACUGUAUUCAAGUUUUAUGUAUGCAAUUUAUUUCUUACUCAAAUCUUUUUUUUUACUGUUCAUGCUUCUAUGUUAGUCGUAACAAGUCACAUCUUAAAGAUACUAUUGGACUUGGUUUAUUAGGUAUUCUCGAUUCUAUUUUUUAACAUCCAACCUUCUAUAUCUUGGCAAGUCACUUGAAAAGGUGGCUCUUAAAGACAAGACGUUGAAAGCAAAAUUGAUGAUGUUGGAUAUAGAGCAUUUACCUAAUAUUUUCUGCCAUAAUAUCUUUUUCACAUCCAACCUUCCAUUUCGUGGUAAUUCUAUAUAGUAUUUCAGUCGAUUGCUUUCAUUUUAUUUUGUAUUUUCGAUUUUCAAUCUAUCAUUGUGAAGAUAUCUCUAGCAUAUAUCGAGCUUCGUUGCGUAUAAUUCGUCAACUCAUGUAAUCCAUGUAUUUUUUAUGAUUAUUAAUUAAUCCGCUGGAAUCAAUUCAAAGACCUCUACUACAACAAACACUUGGCGUCUUCAAUCUUGAUUACUGGCAAAACUCAGGGGCCAGUUGUAUAAUAAUUGGGGUGCCCGCUAACUCCAUCUAUAGGUACCAAGCAGACACCACGAAAUUGGACACAAGAGCAAGAGGCUAAGACACCAAGUUUUUCAUCUGGGUGUGAUCACACGUAAAGUAGAUGCAUGUUCGAUCACACAAUAAGAGAGAAGCUCGACCUAAUUGAGCUCUCUCUCUCUCUCUCUGGUGUGUUUAUUGUGCAUGCAUGCUUUUGACCCCUCACCUCGGUUCUUACCCGGUGACCCAAAAAAAAAACCACCAAUCACGACCACCAUUGCGUCCUUCUGCAGCUUGUCCAAUGCGGCACCGCUUCUUAUCUUCUCCAAUUGCCUGCAACCAACAACAAAAUCACCAUCGUCACCACUGCAUAUCGCUGUCACUUCUUACAUUCCCUGAUUGCCUGCAACCAACAAAAAAAUCACCAUCACCACCACUGUGUUGGCAUCAAGAGAUUCCUCUCUAGGCCCUUCGUGCAUUUACGCUUCAGGCAUGCAUGUGUACCUAGAGUUAAGCAUUUCAUUUGUGUUCAUCGUGCAUGUGUGCAUUCGAGACCUCACCUCGCUUCUUUCCAAGUAACCUACAACAAAACCACCAUCAUGACCACCACUGCGUCCUGCAAGUUGUCCAACGCGCCACUGCUUCUUACCUUCUCCGAUUGCCUUGCAACCAAUAACAAAAACACCAUUACCACCACUAUGUAUCGCUGCCGCUUCUUAUCUUAUCCAAUUGCUAGCAACCAACAACAAAAUCACCAUCACCACCAUUGUGUUGGCAUCAAGAGAUUUCUCUCUAGGCCCUUCAUGCAUAUAUGUUUCGAGCAUGCAUGUGAGAGUUGACACUUAAAUUUUUGUGACACGUUUAAUCAUUCAUUAAUUGCAUAGAAAAAUUAGGAAUUAAUUCCUAAUUUCUAGCGACAAUAAUUUUUACUAAAUUGCAUGGCAUAUAGACAUUAGGAGCAUUUGUAUUGCUAGUAUUAAAAUUAAAAAAAAAAAUCUAGAAUUAAUUAAGAACGUUAAAAAAACUUAUCAUUAUUAUUUUUUAUUAAGAAAAGAAAAGAAAGCUAGACCUGGCCUGGGGCGGGCCGGCCCGGCCUUUUUUUCUUUUCCCUUCUUCCUCUUUCUCUUUCAGGCCCGGCCCCAUUUUCUCUUUUCUUUCCCCGGCCCGGCCCACGCACCUAUCCCUUCCUCCUUCCUCCUUCCUCCCUCACGCCAUUCCCGCGUGUCUGCGGCAACAGAGAUGUACGCAAGCAAAGGCAGAGCAGCCGUGAUCCUAGGGGCGGGGAUCAGGCUUGCCGCGGCAGGCUGGCGGUGGCGGAAGCCAUGCGCGUCUGUCGCUAGCCCUUAAAAGCGAGAGAGGGGGGCGCAAGAGAAAAAGGGAGGAGACCGGGAGUUGGUUUUGAGGGAGAGAUCCGAGAGAGAGUUCGAGUGAGAGAAACGGAGAGAGAGGGGAGAGAUAGAGAGCGCGAGUGAAGGAAGAGAAUUGGAGGUAGAGACCGUCGGCCACCGCACGGCCGACAACCCGCUGCCGUGCCUCCUUUCCCGCUCCGAAACUCCGGUAAGCCUCGACCCUGUUUUUGCCUUUUUUGGGCAUGCCGGGCCGGAGCUCGCGGCCGUCCGGCUGACGCGAACUCCGGCCCCGUCCGUCCUUCGUUUCGCUGCUGCUGUGUGUUCUGUUGUUGUCGUGGGUUCUGGUCUUCGGUCGAGUCAAAGAUCUCUUGUUUCCGUAGCAUAUACUACCUGUUCGACAAAAUGUCCGAACGAGAUCCAUAGUUUUUUCUCCGGGUAUGGUCUCUUUCGGAACGAUGGUGACACCCCGGUCAGUGAGUGCGUAGGGUUGGCUAGGAGGUGGUCGGUCCUUGGUGGCCGUCGCGGCGGUCCUCGGAGGCCUCGGGCCUUACUGUUUUGGACAUUCGGCGGCGGGGAGGUCGGCCGACGAGUGGCAGUCAGAGUGACCGCCCGAUGGAGGGUGGUAGCUCGGCUGCAGCUUGAGCUUUGGCGGAGGUUUGUCUGAGAAAAAAAAAAAUACGUAGAAGCUUCCGUGAAGGACGUCACACGAGAUGGGGAUGUCGCUUGAGAGCGGCUUGCAAGAUAACCCGACAUCAAACACUCGAGGCCGAGCGUUAUCUUUUUCUCCUCUAAUAAAGGGAGUAUGAUGUGAGACGCCUUAAGUUUGGAUUUACAUCUUUUAUUUGACGAAUUUGGGAUACUGAAAUCUGAUUUUUCCAUCCUUAAUUAAGCUGGUUUAUAGUAUAGAAUAAUUUUUUGGGGGGGUUUGGAGUGUAAAAUAAUUGAAUUUAUAAAUUCCAUUAUUUUAACUAUGUGUUAAAAUAUAAUAUUCUGAUUGGAAGAUAUCGUAGGAUUUUUUUUUUUUUAUUUGGCUAGGCUUUUACUAUAUUCUCAGUAUUUUUUUCUGUUACUUUAUUUAGAAGUAAUUUUUCAAAAAAAAGGUUGCUACUGUGUCUAUUCGUUGUGUUUUGUAGAAUCAUCAAGUUUGCCUCUUUCUAGGAGUUAAAAAGCCGAAGAGAUUUCCGUCUUGUGUUUUGUGCACGGACGCAUUGCGCAUUUGUGUUUGCAAGUUGUAACUCGAUGAUGUUCAUUUCCACUGCGUUAAAGUCUGAAUUAGGAAAAAAAGUUAUUCGAAGUCUCGACUUCAAGCGAGAGUAAAGCCUCUCAGGACUAGCGAAUUGCCACGUGUCCAUCCCUUGCAAUUAACACAGAAGAGUCUAGUUCUUGCAAACCUCAAGAUAAGAAGCAUGCAUGAUAUGCAUACGUGACAAGAGAAGUUAAAGUAAAAUAUGCAUGGGAAUUAUCUUCGAUCCUCCGAUCUUCAGAAGUUGCCGACGCGUCUCCUUGUGGCAUUGAUUUUUCUUCGGACUUGGAAGUGGUUUAGCCGUAUCAUAAAGGAUAAUCCUAAGAAGAAGUACAUUGCCACCAUGAAAAAACCCCCUAUCAAAUUUAGUCCAACAUCAUUGGAGUUCUGGAAUCCCAUUGCAAGGGAUAAAAAAUAGUUGGCGGCGAGAAUAAACAUCGAAAAGCAAGUCAUAGUAGUAUCAGGAACCAGCGGAACAGCAGCGGCUAUGAUUAUGCAGCUGGAGAUGAGAAAAGUCAUGCUGUUGAGUAAAGUGAAUAAGUAUAGACGUGAGCCGCUGAGGAUCAUCUUUCCAGCUUGAUGUGGUUUUCCAUUAGGAAUUUCAGUGAAUUGGCCGUGACGACAGUGGAGGAGGUCGGAGAAUUGAAGAAGAAUCCUGCCAGUAUCCCUCCCGAGGACUAAGAGCGGCUUGGUAAGUGGUGGUCGCCAUUAAGGUGGACCACUACAAGGAUUACGUUGCGAGCGGAUUCAUCUUGGACAUAGAAAAUGUGUUCCCAACAUGUCAUGGAAAAUUAGUCUGUUGAUAAUCUGGGGUAGAGAGGGGGCAGCAUAAAAAAAUCUGGGCAGUAGUCUUGGAGGGCGUAGCCUCUCCAUAACAUCUUGAUCGUUACGAGGAUUCACUUGGAAGAUUUCCAGAGCGGUCUCACCAAGGGAGUUCUUCGCUUGUACAUCCGUCCACUGACUUAACAACUUGAUGAUCUGAAAGAAAUGCAAAAAAGAAUAAAAAUGAAGUACGCACCCCUUAAAUCAUUGCUUUAUCCCAAGCUUUACUAUUGUGCACAAGAUGAGCUCUAGCCACUAUGACCCAUGUACAAAUGAAGAAAGUUUACUAGACCUUAUUUAUUAAUGCCAUCAUUUCAACCAAUAUAAAGAAGUCCUGGAUUUUUUCAAGAGGUGCAAUUUAGUACUUUCAUCCAGAAUUAUUUAUGUGAUAGUUAGGGAUUGCCCAUGUGAGUUGCAACAUAGGCAAAUCCACAUAAGUGGUGACUUGAAUGGCUGUAAUCUAGCAUAAGAGUUUAGGAUUUGACCAUGUCAACUGAAAAGAUUUAAGAUUCAAUUACAUUUUGUAUAUGAGAUUUUUUUUUUCUAUGAAGACAGACACUACCUUAAAUAAAAGAAUGGACCAACCUAUAAAAGCUGGAUUCAAUAUAAGGGUCGAGCCUACCUUCCUAUGACCUUGGGCACGGGAAAAUAGUCAAAAAGAGAAUAGGAAUAGAAGAUUGGGAGUGGAGUUACUACAUCCAUCCCUCGUUAUUCCUGUUCUUCUUUUGUUUUGUGCUUAACAUCAAUCCCAGCGUUUAUUUAUGUCAAAGUUAAUAUCACAAAUUUCUUUUAGAGUGAAAUAGAAAGGAUAAUUAUUUUUUGACGCUAUUUCCAUUCACUUAUACCUAAACGCAUCAAUUAUUUUCCAAUUACUCUGUACACAUUCUAAUGUACAAAUCAUAGUUCUAUUAGAUACCAAAGUACAACAGCACAUCAUAUAUUAUGUACUCCGCUCACGUCUAUUAUUUCGUGAUGAACAACGGUUUAUGCAUUCACGGAGGUCAUUAAUUGCAAAUUGUACGAUCCUUAAGAUUAUUUGAAGCAAUUCAUAUUAUUUAAAAACAAAUUUAAUUAUUGGGCAGAUGAAUUUAUCCACUCAUUCCAUCUCUCUUUAAAAUUAUGUUUUCUUUAAUUAAAUCAAACUCCAAGCUAUUUCCACAUACAUAACUGACAUAUAUAGAGAGAAUUCAAAGUGAUGCCAUAAGAUUGUGGAACCAACCACGAGAAGUCUUGUUUUAUAAUAAUAUUAUGCGAUGGUGGAAAGUUCAACAAGAGAGAAAAACGCGCACCGAUUGAGCAGGACUCAAUGAGGACGUAAAAAAACGAGAGAGAGAGAGAGAAUCAAAUCGACAAAUAUUAACUUUUAUUAUAUGUAAAUUCGAUGGUUAACAAUAAUCCUUCUUAAUAAACAUUACAUAUAAUAAUCCACUUAAGAGGUGGGUUUUUUCCGAAGAUUAUUGGCAAAAGUUUGCUUUCAUAAUAUUAAGAGACAUGAAGUCGAACAAUAUCGUGAUAUUAUAUAUUACUCAUACGAAAACACACAACUGAUUUGUAGAAGGAUGAGUAUUUUUUCUCGUGGAGACUCCCAUACGAUCUAAUCAUCACAAUAUUCUCCUAUAAUAUAUCACAUCACCCGAUAAAUCAUUUCUGUUGAUCCUUUCUUGUGUUUUUCCUGGAUCCUUUUUAACCGAGCAAAUUUCUGAACACUUCUAUAUGUUCAGCACUAUGCUAUACAACUUCAAAUAUCAAUGGUCAGAUAGACCCUUAAUGACAAAUGUUAACCGUUGAAUGAUAAAAAUACAUCAUAUAUUGUAACACAAUUUGUAGCUCGUCUCCCCUCUUUGAAUGUUUCUAAAUCCGUAUAUUUUCAAUCCCUGGUAUUUCAUUAUCAUAAAAUUUGUUCAAAAACAAGAACAACUCGGAAAAGCAAAGAACCAUACCUUAGGUUGCGGUUGCCUUGCUUUCGCAGCAAUAUGUAAAGCGGUGUUACCAUCUUUGUCUUUCCACCUCAAUAUUCUCAUCAGAUGAAAUUGCUUAAGCCAUCCAAACAAAAACUCGAAUGCUUUGAGGUUGUCGUUCUUCAAGGCGACAUGAACCACAGUCUCGCAUUGACUUGUCAAGUCUUCAAUGGAUGAUUCACAAGUGCAUAGGAAUUCGACCAGGAGCUCCAGCUCAUCGUCUCCUUUUUUCUCGGCGACGUAAUGCAAAGGAGUGAUCCCACCUCGUCCUGGAACUCGGAUCAAUUUCGGGUCAUGGCUUAUCAAUGCCCUCACAAUGUUAUAAUGUUGAUGUUGCAAAGCCAAGUGCACGGGAUUGUAACCCUUUGGAUUCAACUUCCGAGCAAGCGACGGCUUCAAGAUGACCAUCUCCAUGGCCACCUCAGUUUUUCCGGCAGUUGCGGCAAUGUGGAGAGGAGUAGUUGGGAAAGGGUGCUUAGAUAGGCGAUCUAAGAGCUCUGGCUCCUCCUCAAUUAAGUUAUGUAGCUCAUCAACGUCGUCAUGUUCGAUUGCUAGUUGAAGACGAGACUCCCGAACCUUUUUUUCUUCUUUUUGGGCUAGACCCCUGGCCAUCGUGUUUCCAGGGAAAUGAUCGAUGGAAGAAGCGAACUUGCAAAUUCAUUUAUAGGGGAGUCAACAAGGGUAUAGGUGGGCCCCAUGCUAGGUUGGGGUUAGUGGGCCCCAACAUAACUUAGAACGAUAGCUGUGCAUACUGAUAAGAUUCUCAGGAAAUCUUCAGACUUGUAAUUUUAUGCGAUACUCUCGCUCUCCCACUUUUGCUCUUUCGCUUCUCGUCACGAGAGUAUAAGAUAAACAACGAUUUAUCUAGGUAAGUGACUUUUACCACUUUUACAUUUUGCAAGAAAUGCAUAAUAUGAUUUAUCGAGAGGGAAAAACCAUACUGUAUCAUGGCCCGUAUGUUGAGGUCGAAAUGUAAAGUACCAUAUGAUAUGCUCUUUUUAAAGUUAGAUCAUAUAUUUGAUACUCUAGACCAUAAGUUCAAUUUUUGUCUAGAAAGAUUUUGGAUGAAAUGUUAUUACUAUUGGUGAUAUAUAUAUUGAUCGCAUGUUAUAUUGUGAUUUUGAUUUGAUGCUCAUAGUCAACCUACAUAUUAAGAUGUGACAUGAUGUACAUCUGCAUGGAUCAAUCUGUUUCAGGCCUUCAUCGCGCCUAACGUGUUUUUAAAGACUUAAUCGGAGUGAAGUGAUUUAUAGGGCUUAACAAUAGCGGCUUGGUUUUCAUGCCUCAUCGCCUUGCAAAGUGUGACUUCAAUGUCUUCUUGACAUGAGCAUAGGAUGAGUUUGACACAUGCUAGCUAUAUUAUAUUACAUUAGGGUGAUUGCCAAGUGGGGCUUAGACAGUGCUUUUGUCUCCAACCUGUCAAUUCCUUUUUUCCUUUUUUUUUUCUCCACGUAAAAUAAAGAGCGAAUAAAGCUAAAAGAAAAAUAAAUAAAGGAAAAAAAAUAAAGCAAAAGUGCCACUUCCCUACCAUAACCUAUCGAAUCCGAGGUAAUAGAAAAGCGUACACGCCUUACUUGUUAAUGCUAAAUCCAAACUAAAGAAGAUAAUUUGCAAUAUUUAAUAAUGCAUUUGAGAGUGAAUAGCACCGGACUUGUUUUCUCUUUCAUUUGAUACGAGUCCACUUAUAAACCUAAGUACAUGAUUAUUACCUCAAGCUCAUGACCUCGAAUUGGUUCUUCGAUUCGAUUUAAUAGAGGAAGGCAAGUUCUCUACUUGUUACUAAAAUGGUCUGUUCAAUGAAGAUUUUGAGUUUCAAGUUUAGUAUUGAAUUAGAUGAAAAAGGACCUCUAAAUCAUGGAUGCAUGACAAAUUUGACAAUUUAUUUAUAAACUAGUGAGUCACUAAAGGGUGAUUCAUCGCUUGCUCUUCUUUAAUGUAAUUGGGAUUUGAGCUUUCCAUUGUCAUAAAUCAAAUGGCUACUAAUAAUAGUUCACCUGUUUUUAAUCACAAAAUUUUUUAACCCCAAAGUUUUAGGAAUGCUAUCGUGAAUUAUACUUCGUAUUGCAAAACGGUAAUGCAAAAUUAGUUUAGAUAGCUACUAGCUUACUUUGGGGAGGAGUUAGUUAUUUAAACUUAAAUAUCUCAUAUCCUGUGACAAUCAAAAGCAGACUUUUAGUUGGAAUUUCGGAACAACCAUGUAAAUGAUGAUAACCGACUCAAGUGAGAUUGUAAUUGUGUUCUACAUUUUAUUAUCGAGCGUCACAAAGCGUCUCUUGAAACCUGUUAGCUACCUAUAACUAAUUGAUAAGCUCCUAAAAAAUGAUGUCGGUAAAUUGUAGGAAUUGUUGAUACUUUUGAAACAAUAAAAAAAAUAUAUAUUGGUAAGUGGACUUAAAUAAGAAUUGGUAAUUUCGUAUAAGAUUCGAUGAUGUUAACACGUCAAUCAACUCUACAAAUGAAUCUGGGUAAAUUAUUGGAACAAUUGAUAAUUUCGAAAUAAUCAAAUGUUCGUUGGUAUAAUAUAAAUAAGAGUUGGUAACUCAAGCUUCCCAAAUAAAUUUGUUAAGCUUUCAAAAAAGUCGGAUAUGGUUUAAAAGUGUUGGUAACUUUAACCUAUUAGUAAGCUCUAUAAAUAAAUACUGUUAAAUUAUUAGAAUAAUUUGUACUGUUGAAACAAUGAAAUAAUCUUUGGUAAGUGAACCCAAAUAAGAGUUUCUAAUUUUUUUAUAAGUAUAAGUGAUUUUAACACAUUUUUAAAAUCCUAAAAAAAGUCCAAAAAAUAUUGGAACAAUUGGUAAUUUUUGGUAACUGAUUAAAUUAAAGUUGGUAAUUUCAUGUAAGAGUUUAUAAUUUAAGCUCCACAGAUAAAUGUUAGUCAGUUCUUAAGAGAACCAUUAAUUUUGAAAUAAGUUGGUAAUUUUGUGUAAGAAUUGGUAACUCUAUCCCAAUGAUAUCUUCUAAGAUAAAUGUUGUGAACUAUAGGAAUAGUUGGUAAUUUUGUGGCAAUCAAAUAAACGUCGGUGAGUGGAUUCAUGUAAGAGUUGGUAAUUAUAUGUGAUAGACAAUAGAAUUAUUACCUGGUAAACUGCGCAAAUAAAUGUUGGUAAAUCACUACAACAAUCAGUAAUUCCGAAACAAUCAAAUAAAAUUAAUUGGUGACUUAGGCUGCGUUUGUUUUUGUUCUUUAUUUCUGUUUCUAAACAACUUUUAUGUUUUUUUGUUCCUGGGAACAAAAAAUGAACAAAAACGCAUGGAACAGAAACGCGUUUGGAUGCGUUUUUGUUCCAAAAUUGUUUUUUUGUUCCCAGAAACACAUCUGGAACAAAAACAAGAAACAAAAAAAAGUUGUUUCUUGUUUCUGAAACAAAAUUUAGAAACACUUUUUUAUUUUCUUCUUCUUUUUUCUUUCUUUCUUCUUUGGCUGGCGGCCUUGCCCAGCCACGGCGAGGCUCGCCGGCCCCCGGCGAGGCCGAGCCUUGUUGUAGCUGGGUGAGGGUUGGCCUCGCCUUGGCUGGGCGAGCUCGAGCCUCGCCGGUGGCUGUGCGAGCUCGGCCUCGCCCAACCACGGCAAGGCUCGGCCUCGCCGGGGGCCGGUGAGCCUCGCCAUGUCUAGGUGAGGCUAUCGGCCCCCGUUGGCUGGUCGCCGGAGGCCGGCGACCGGCCAAAAGAAGAAAAAAAAAAGAAAAAAGAAAGGAAAAAAAUUAAAAAUAAAAUAAAAAUAUUAAAAAAUUAAAGAAACAAAAAAAGAAUAGAAAAUCUACCAAACGUAUUUAUAUUCAUUUUUUAUUCCCAGAAUAAGUUUACCAAACACGUGUUUCUGGUCAAAAAUUGUUCCUCGGAACAGAAACACUUUUUUUUUUAUUUAUUUUUGUUCCCUGGAACAAUUUUUGAAUAGAAACGUUACCAAACGCGCCCUUAAUGGAAGAAAAAUGAAUAAAUCACUUAAAUUAAGAUUGGUAAUUUUGAAUAAAAGUUAGCACCUUACCAUGUUGGUAAGUUAUACAAAUUAAUAUUGUUUAAUUAUGAAAACAAUUAGUAAUCCUGGAAGUACAAAAAAAUAUUAGUACUUUCAAAAAACAAUCGGCAACUUAAAAAUAAGAUAAAUGGAUAUAUAUAUUGUGAAAGAAGAAUAGUUUCUCACUUUGUUUCCUAAAAGUCUGAUGACAACGCGAAAGACCAAAAAGCAAAGUGCUGGUAAUCGUUUAAAGGAAAAAAAAAAAAAGGAAAGUGCUAAAUUUGCUGUCACGUGUAAACCGUUUGUCCUCCUUGUCGGGAAAAAAAGGAGAAUUCUUAGAGAAUUACUAGACACAAAAAGUACUUUACAUCCUUGACUAGUCAAUGGUAUCUUCAAACUUGAUUAUUGUGUGAGGCGUCAGCCCCCUUAAAAGUGCUUCUUUGUUUCUUAUGAUGUUGGCACAGGGCAAGAUUUGGAAUCCAAAUAUGCUCAAGUCAUCCAUGUAUUCAGCAGACAAUAAAUUGUCGGACCAUCAAUUCAUAUAUUAAAGAUUCAAACUAUUGUCUGCCCUACGACACAGAAGAAAACAAUGAAGUCCAGUAGUUCACACCCAAUUUGGAGGGAGCACAUGCUCAGAAGUGGAAGCAAUUCUUCUUUAUGCACGAAAAACGUUUAUGAACUCCUAUCUAAUCAAUGGAUCGAUAUCCUUUGAAAUUGCGAGAUAAAGUCACAUAUAUCUAUCUUCUUAAAAGAUUAAUACUAUACUACAUGUGCUAUUGGCUGUUCAAAUUUGUUGUUCUUUCUUGUUAUCCUUUUGAUCCUGUCCUCCCAUUUUUCUUUCCGUUCCUUUUCCCUUCCUGUUACUACCCUCAAGUGAACCACCAGAGAUAAACUAAUGGGUUACUAAGUAAAUACUUAGUACGGACUCUCCCAAAUUCAUACCAAUCACAACUUUAGUGUUUUUAAUUUAAUUAAUUAAGCAAGCAAAUCAUUUUAUUUUGGAGUCGUCAUUAAUUUAUUAUGAAUCGUUAGAAAUCCAAGUAAAACGUAGAAAAAUAUCUUAUUUUGCGAACUAGAAUUUUCAUAUAUAUGGAGACUUGAUUACACUAGAUAAAUAUAAUGCUCUUUUGAUAUAUUUUAUCUUUAUUUAAAAAUAUAGUUUGAAGCAAUCUUGGUCAAUUUUAACUUUUAACCACUAACAUGUGAUGGGUGAUUACACAAGUACGUGGACAGUAAUUUAAUACUCCAUAAUCAAAGCAAUAUAUAAAUUAUUUAGUGAAUAGGAAAAGAUUGAUGUACUAAUCAAUAGUAAAUCUCCGUUAAAGACGUACUUCCAGAAAUUUUCUCAUCAAUUCCAUCAAACCAUCAAGAACAACGUCUUACUGUACUCUUCACAAAAUUAAAGCAUGAUCCAACGGUUAUUAGAUGUCCAUUUGUCGAUUCCGUGAACUGUACGCUGGAAUUGUUCUGUUGCCAAGGAGGCAAGGUUCGCCUUUUUCUUUUUUUCUUUUUUUGAACAUUAACGUCCUUGUUUGUGUAUCUGUGCCCCUUCAAUUUUGAGAGAAAAGAGUGCUUAUAUAGGCAGAGGAUUAGGGUUAUCUCAAGAUAUCAAUCAAUGCAUCACUUUCCUAUUUUAAACUAAAUAAGUAUAGUGACUUCCUCACUUUAGGAAUUUUUUAUAUCACAUUGAUAUUACCUCCAUUAAAUUAAAAUCGUCAACGAUAAUAUAUCUUUUCCUUAAAUUUAAUUAGAUAAUGCAAUCUUAAUUAGUUAGGCAUGCCCACGUGCUAAGCACAAGCAGUUUUUGGCCAUAAGGAAUAUUCAAUGGGCUUGACCAAAUUUUCAUGCUUCUGCAGGCUUAUUCCAGAUAAUUUAAUUAAGCUUGUAGUGCUUAAAAAGUCUAAAUUAAAUGCAAUUUAUGUGGGCUUUAUUAUUUAUAGAAUGCUCACAAUAAAUACAAUUAAUAACGGCUUAAGUGUUCACGCAGGCCAUUAAUUGCAAAUCGUACUCUGUCACUAUAUACGUAUAGAGAGAGAGGCCAAAUUAAUGUCUCGCAUGAAGUAUUGAUUUAAUAUUUUUAUGCGAUGGUGGGGAGUUCAACAAGAGAUAAAGACGUGUACAAAAUCAAUAUAGUGAAUUCUGAAAGGACGCGAUGAGGAGUUAACAGGGAGAGAGAGAGAGAUCAAAUCGACAAAUUGUCGACUUUUCAAUAUAACAAUCGAACUUCGACAAAAAAAAAAUAUAAUGAUGAUGAUGAUGAUGAUGCUGAUGAUCCAACAGUUAACAAUUUUCGUUCUUAAUAAAUAUUACAAUAUGAUAAGACACUCAACAUAUGGAUUUUUACUAAGUUAAUUGAGAAAAGUCUAAUAAAUAUAGAGAGGAAGUCGAAAAAUAACGUGAUUUUAUAUAUUAUUGAUCACAAUUGAUGUAUACAUGUGUUAUAUUUUUUCUUGUCGAGGCUUCAAUACAAUCUAACUAUCACAAUAUUCACCUAUAAUAUGUCACGCUCCUUGAUCAAUCUUUUUUGUUGGUCUUUUUCUUGUGUUUCUGGCGGAUCACUCCAAGCAAGUAAAUUUAUGGACAUUUUUAUAGUUUACGACACCAUGCCAUACAACUUCAAAUGUCAAUCGUCAGAUAGACAUUUGUUCUUAGAUUACAUAAUGUCAAAUUCAAGGAUCAAACAAUAAAAAUCAUAAUAUUUACAAAAUCAAUGGACCAUAUCUCUACCUUCAAGAUUUGUGUUAGAUGGACUCGCUUUAGCCAUUUAAGUAAAACCUUCAAUGCUUUGAGAUCGUGGUUCUUGAUAGCAACGUGAACUGCAAUCUCACAUUGGAUUGUCAAAUUUUCGAUAGAUGAUUUGCAAGCAAAUAGGAAUUCGGAUAGGGGUUUCGAGAGCUCCACGUUCUCCUGCUUGUUGUCUCCUCUUUUUUCCCUGCUACAAAAUGCAAACAGGUGAUCCCACCUCAUCUUCAGACUUGAAUCAACUUCGGGUCAGGGUUCAUCAAUGUCCUCACAGUGUGAUAAUGCUCAUGUUGCAAAACCAAGUGCAUUAGGCAUUACCAAGCAAAUGACGGCUUCAAGAUGCCCAUCUCCAUGGCCACAUCAGGUUUUUUUUUUUUUUUUUUUUUUUUUUUUUUUUUUUUUAUGGCCUAGGUAAUGUGUAGUGGAGUGGAUAGGCAAUCUUAAAGCACUCGCUCCUCCGCAAUUAAGUUACGUACCUCAGCAACAUUAUCAUUUGUUAAAGCUUGUUGAAGCCAAGACUGCCUAGCCAUUCUUUGUUCUUUUUUGGCCAGACUCCUGGCCAUCGUGUUACCAGGAAAAUGUAGGAGUCGAGGGGGUUUGAUUGGGGAGGAUCGGUGGAAGUAGCAAACUUUGGAAAAUCAUAUAUCAUAUAGUGCCGUGGUCAACGAAUAUUUAAUUAGCUGAGUCAACAAGUGUACAGUUGGGCCCAGUGACAGGUUGGGGUGAGGGGGGCCCAACACGUCUUAGACCGAAGCGUAUUGCGCACUGGUCAGAUUUUUAGGAAAUGACUGGUCAGUUUUUAUGUUUUGCAAGAAUUGCACGUGAUUUACGAAGAGGGAAAAAACUACACUGGGUUAUGGCCAGUAUGUGGAAGUCGAAUUGUAAAGUACCGUGUGGUAUGUCUUUCUCAAAACUGGAUCAAGGAUACUCUGGAACCUCGGAUAAGUUUUGCCUGGAAAUUUUUUAAAUGGAAUGUUAAUAUGGCAUGUUAUAUUAUCCCUUCGAUUUGAUGCUUGUAGUCAAUCUACAUAUUGAGACACAAAAUGAUGUACAUGUAUACUGACCAAUUCUAUUUCGGAGCUUAAUCAUUACUAACUUGUUGUUUGAAACUUAAUCAUAGCUAAUUUCAAGACUUAACAAUAGCGGAUAUAAUUUUUGUGCCUCAUUACCUGGUGAAGUGCGACUGUAAGGUCUUCUUAACAUGAGCUUAGAAUGACUUUGACACAUGGUAGCUCUACUGUAUUACAUUGUUUAUAUAUGGUGUAUAUUUUAUGAUAUGUUGGAAUAUAUGCAAUGCUUAUGAAAUGAGUAAAUACGAUGCAUACUUGUUUCUAAAGCUGCAUUAUUCUUUGCUUCUUCCGAAAGAACUGCGAUUUUGCUUAUUGGGGUGUUCUCUCUCCACUAUCAAUUUGCUUUUUCCUCUCUUUCAUUACUCCAUGUAAAGUGAAGAAAGAACGAAGCUGAGAGCAAAACAAAUAAAGGAAAAGAAAGAAGAAAGCAAAAGUGCCACUUCCCUGCCUAUAACCCAUCGAAUCUUAAUAGAAAAGCAUUCACGCCUUACAUGUUAGCCUAAUCCCAAACAAAAAAGAUAAUUUGCAGAAUUUAAUCAUAUAUUUGGGGAGUUAAUAGCACCAGAUCUCCUUCCUCCUUUAUUUGAAACAAGUCCACUUAUAAACCUUAAUACAUGAUUAUCUCCUUGAGCUCAAGACCUCGGAUUGGUUCUUGAUUCAAUUCAAUAAAUGGAGGCAAGUUCUCUAUUUGUUACUAUAACAGUUUAUUGAAUGAAGAUUUUGAGUUUUGAGUUUAACGUCAAAUUAGCUUGGAAAAUAAAUCUCUUUUAAUCAUGGGUGCAUGACAAGUUUGACAUUUUAUUUAUAAACGGGUGAAUCAUUGGUGGGUUCUUCACCACUUGGUCCUCUUUAAUGAAAUUGGCAGUCAAGCUUUCCAUAAUCAUGUAUCCGAUGGCUGCUAUAAUAAUUCACUUGCUUUUAAUCUCUAAGCGUUUAACCCAAAGUUCCAAGAAUACUCUCAUGAAUCAGGACUACGUAUUGCAAAAACCGAAAUGCAAAAUUAGUUUACAUAGCUACUAGUUUAUUUUGGGGAGGGUUAGAUAGUUAAACUUAAUUAUUUCAUAUCAUAUGACUAUAAAAAGUCGACCUUUAGUUGGAAUUUCGGAACAACCAUAUAAAUGAUGAUAACUGACGAGACUAAAUUUAUCACUAGUUGGAUCUUCUUCAAUCCAUAUAAUAAAGGUUCAACCUAUCGUCUGCCCUACCAUACAAAAGAAAACAAAGAAGACUAAUAAUCCAUACCCAAUUUAUCACUAGUUGGAUCUUCUUCAAUCCAUAUAAUAAAGGUUCAACCUAUCGUUUGCCCUGCCAUACAAAAGAAAACAAAGAAGACCAAUAAUCCAUACCCAAUUUGGAGAGAGCACGUUCUAAAAAGUGAAAGCAAUUCUUCUUUUGUUCGAAGAAACGUUUGCGAAUUGCUUUUUGAUCGACCGAUUGAUAUCUCCGAAAUUACGCGAUAAAGUGACAAUAUUUACUACACGUGAUGUUGGUUGUUUAAAUAUUUUGUCCCUUUCCGAUUUUUUUCUUUCUUUUUUUCCCUUCCCGUCAUUGCCUCUCGCCCCCUCCCCCUUCUCUUUCUCUCAUGAAACAACCCCUACAAUACAACCCGAACAUAUGCAACUCUCUCUCUCUACCCUCGAUUUGAGCUAGUGAAAAGUAUCCAAAAAAAAGUCCUAAACUUAUUGUAUCAAUAAUAAUUUAGUCAUAAAACUUUCAAUUGAAUCAAUUUAGUUCUAAAUCAUUUUAUGUUAGUACCAAUUGAGUCCAUAUGACCAAUUCAAAUAGAAAUUUAUUGAGGUGGAUAUCAUAUAUCUUAUAUGGCAUGGUUAGCAAUGAUGUGGAUAUUUUAUAAAUAUUUGUUUUUAUAUUUUAUUCGAAUUUUCAAUUAAUUUUUCUUUUCUUUUUUUCUUCUUCUCUUUUCCUUAUUAUCCUUUCCUUUUCCACUGUGGCUAGCAAGCGUCACCGAAGCUCACCAGCCACUGGGCAAUGCAAAUCCCUCUCGGCCUUGCCAAUCGCAAGCAAAAGUGGCUAUGGCCUCGCCAGCCGCGGGCGAGGUCACCUUCACCUAUAGCCGCCAACGGCUCACCCACAUCUAGGUGAGGCCCAUGACCCUUGUCGGCGGUCAGUGAGGGCUUUCGAGGCCCUUGCCUAGUGGCCAGAGAGCUCUAGGCCCACCAGCCACAGUAGGGAACAAAAAAGAAGGAAAAGAGAAGAAAAAAUUAAUAAAGAAUUGAAAAUUUCAGAAAAAAAUUAUAAGAAUAUGUCCAUGUCAAGGCCAAAUGUGCCAAGAGAGACGACCAGUGUCCACAUCAGAAUUUUUUGGCCUAAUUUUGUUAGAUAGAUUAAAUUUAUAGAAAUGUGAAAUGGUUUAUGACUAAUUUGAUAUAAUUAAAAGGUUUAGAAUUAAAUUGGUACUAAUAUAAUAGGUUUAGAAUUUUGUUAGUACUUUUCUUGUUUGAGCCACUACCGCUUGUGCCUCCUUCGCCAUAGUUACCCUGUGUGUUGUGUAUGUUUGUGCUUGUGUGUGUGUAUAAUUGAUUAGUGCUCACAUUGUGUUUGUUUAUAGAUUUUAUUUCGAAGGAGAAAGAAAAAGAAAGGAGGAGCAAAACAGGUUGAUAAAAUACUGACCGUUGAGCCGGUUGACUAUUGAAGUGAAAUGAUUUUUAAGUCGCAUGAAAGAGUGCAAGGAAACAAAUGACGAGAAUUUUACUCGAAAAGGUGCAAUCUUUUUAAUAGGAGCGAUGCGUCAUAAUUGUUCUAAUGAACCUAUUGAAAAGAUGCAACUUAUCAAAUUAAAUUGUAAUAUAACAAGUUAUUUGGAUUUAGACUUUCCUCUCACUUGAAUGGACUGAGGUCGUUGACAAGUUAUGUGUUCAUAUUUUGUUGGACAGCGUGGUUAUAGUCGGAAAUCGCAUGGUUGCAACUGAAGCAAAGUAUAUGAUGUCAAUCGAGACAAUUGAGAAAGUUUUUUCACUCAAAGGUUUGUUCAGUCAUCUAUUAUUGUAGGAGAAGAUUGUUAUUUUUAGCAACAAUUAGAGUGCAAGACAUUUAUCAAAAAUCAAAUGUAUCGUGGGUGAGUGAAACACACUAGUGUCGUGUACAAUUUUAUAUCUGAUAUUGUGUCAUAAGGAACCACACUCGUUCAAAAAGUACACAUGGCGGAUAAUCUAACAAAGCAUAUGGCAUUGACUAAGUUUCAAUAAUAUUCGCACUUGGUUAGCUUCUACAACAAGUGAGGAGCCCAUAGGGGUUUGGGAGAAAUGACAACGGAAGAGAUGAAAUUGGACUUCUCACCAAGGUGGAUAUUCAUUGAUCAUGGCUUGAAGUUGAUUCAGAUUUAAAAAAAAAAAAAUCGAUCUAUAAUUGAAUAACAAUAAUCUCACGCCACAUUAUUGCACUCUUGCCAACAGAAUUGUCCACGAUGGAAAAAGGAAACUAAUUUCCCAUAAGACUUCUUUUCUUCAUUGAAGAUGAAGCCCACGUUGACAUUGGCGAAUCGCUUAUGGUUGUUAAAUAAUUUUGUUGUUGAGUUUGGUCUCGGGUGCACAGUGAGUAUGCUUAACAUAUAUGAAAACUUGCAUGAGAUACGAGAGCUUUGAUAACUUUCAUCCAAGAGUGUGACGGUGUAAUAAAAUUCUUUUUUUGUAAUUGAUUCUUGUAAGUUCAGGUUUAAUCUAGAAUUGAAAAAUACUUAUGAGUGAGUAUGAUUGAAUGAUUCUAAUAUCUUCUUUAUCAAUUAUAAUGGAAUCAUCUUAUCGAUCUCUCUCCAUGUAGUAGGCACAUAGUAGAACCACAUAAAUUUGUUGUCUUUAAAUUUUAUUUAUGCAAUUUAUUUCUUACUCGAUUAGUUUUGUGUGUUUUUAUUCACGAUUCCAAGCUAGUCGCAACAAAUCAUAUUUUAGAGAUAGAAAGAUUCAUAAUGGGUCCCUAAAAAAGAAUACAAGGUUUUACACAUUUCCUAACUUAUGAUUAAAUUUGACUACUUAAUGCUCAUCCGAUUGAUGUAUCAUAUCAUACUUUCUUGAUUAGUAGUGGUAUACAGCAAUGGAUUCGGGUUUAUUAGCUAUUGUCGAUUCCAUCGUUUUUACAUCCAUCCUUCUCUUUCAUGGUAAGUCAGUUGAAAGGGAGGUGGCUCUAUAAAUUAUCCUUUUCACAUCCAACCUUCUAUUUUGUGGUAGUUCUAUGUAGUAUAUCAGUCAAUUGCUCUCUUUUUAUUUUGAAUAUGUCAUUAUGAUUAUUUAUCUUACAUAUAUCGAGCUUAAUUGCAUAUGAUUCAUCAACUCAUGUAAUCAACGUAUUUUCAACCAUUAUUAAUUAAUCUGUGGGAAUCACUCCAAAGACCUCUAAUUUGAUAUUUCAAUCUUCAACCUUGAAUACUGGCAAAAUUCAGGGGCUAGUUGUACAAUAAUUGGGGUGCCCACAAACACCAUCCAUAGGUUACACCAAGUAGACAGACACGAAAUUUGACACAAGAUCAGGAUGCUAAGACAGAGUCAAGCAUUUCAUUUGUGUUCAUCGUGCAUGUGUGCCUUCGAGACCUCACCUCGCCUCUUUCCAAGUGACCUACAACAAAACCACCAUCAUGACCACCACUGCGUCCUGCAAGUUGUCCAAUGCGCCACUGCUUCUUACCUUCUCCGAUUGCCUUGCAACCAACAACGAAAACACCAUUAUUACCACCUCGUAUCGCUACCGCUUCUUACCCUCGUCGAUUACCUGGAACCAACAACAAAAUCAUUAUCACCACCAUUGUGUUGGCAUCAAGAGAUUUCUCUCUAGGCCCUUUGUGCAUAUAUGUUUCAAGCAUGCAUGUGAGAGUUGACACCUAAAUUUUGGCGACACGUUUAAUCAUUCAUUAAUUGCAUAGAAAAAUUAGGGAUUAAUAUAUAAUCUCUAGCAACAAUAAUUUUCAUUAAAUUGCAUGGCAUAUAGCCAUUAGGAGCAUUCGUAUUACUAGUAUUAAAAUUUAAAAAAAAUCUAGAAUUAAUUAAGAACAUUAAAAAAAUUAUCAUUAUUAUUUUUUAUUAAGAAAAGAAAAGAAAGCUAGACCGGGCCAGGGGCGGGCCGGCCCGGCCUUUUUUUCUUUUUCUUUUCCCUUCUUCCUCUUCUCUUUCAGGCCCGGCCCCAUUUUCUCUUUUCUUUCCCCGGCCCGGCCCACGCACCUAUUUCUUCCUCCUUCCUCCCUCGCGCCAUUCCCGCGUGUCUGCGGCAACAGAGACGUACGCAAGCAAAGGCAGAGCAGCCGUGAUCCUAGUGGCGGGGAUCAGGCCGGCCACGGCAGGCUGGUGGUGGCGGAAGCCAUGCGCGUCUGUCGCUAGCCCUUAAAAGCGAGAGAGGGGGCGCAAGAGAAAAAGGGAGGACACCGGGGGCUGGAUUUGAAGGAGAGAUCCGAGAGAGUUCGAGUGACAGAAAUCGAGAGAGGGGGGAGAGACAGAGAACGCAAGUGAGAGUUUGCCUGAGGGAAGAGAGUUGGAGGUAGAGACCGCCGGCCACCGCACGGCCGACAACCCACCGCCGUGCCUCCUUUCCCGCUUCGACACUCCGGUAAGCCUCGACCCCCUUUUUGCCCUUUUUGAGCAUGCCGGGCCGGAGCUCGCGGCCGUCCGGCAGAGGCGAACUCCGGCCCCGUCCGUCCCUCGUUUUUCUGCUGCUGUGCGUGCUGUUGUUGUCGCGGGUUCUGGUCUUCGGUCGAGUCAAAGAUCUCUUGCUUCCGUAGCAUAUACUACCUGUUCGACAAAAUGUCCGAACGAGAUCCAUAGUUUUUUCUCCGGGUAUGGUCUCUUUCGGAACGAUGGUGACACCCCGGUCAGUGAGUGCGUAGGGUUGGCUAGGAGCUGGUCGGUCCUCGGAGGCCUCGGGCCUUACUGUUUUGGGCAUUCGGCGGCGGGGAGGUCGGCCGACGAGUGGCAGUCAGAGUGACCACCCGGUGGAGGGUGGUAGCUCGGCUGCAGCUUAAGCUUUGGCGGAGGUUUGUAUGAAAAAAAAAAUAAUAAUAAUUACGUAGAAGCUUCCGUGAAGGACGUCACACGAGAUGGGGAUGUCGCUUGAGAGCGGCUUAUAAGAUAACCCGACAUCAAACACUCGAGGCCGAGCGUUUUCUUUUUUUCGCCUAAUAAAGGGAGUAUGAUGUGAGACGCCUUAAGUUUGGAUUUACAUCUUUUUAUUUGACGAAUUUAGGAUACUGAAAUCUGAUUUUUCCAUCUUUUAUUAAGCUGGUUUAGAGUAUAGAAUAAUUUUUGGGGGGGUUUUGGAGUGUAGAAUAAUUGAAUUUCUAAAUUUCAUUAUUUUAACCAUGUGUUAAAAUAAGAUAUUCUGAUUGGAAGAUAUCGUAGGAUUUUUUUUAAUUUUUUUUUGGCUAGGCUUUUACUAUAUUCUCAGUAUUUUUUUUCUGUUACUUUAUUUAGAAGUAAUUUUUCAAAAAAAAAAAAAAAAGGUUGCUACUGUGUCUAUUCGUUGUGUUUUGUAGAAUCAUCCAGUUUGCCUCUUUCUAGGAGUUAAAAAGCCGAAGAAAUUUCCGUCUUGCAUUUUGUGCACGGACGCUUCGCGCUUUCGUGUUUGCAAGUUGUAACUUGGUGAUGUUCAUUUCCACUGCGUUGAAGCCUCUCAGGAUUAGCGAAUUGCCACACGUGUCCAUCCCUUGCAACUAACACAAAAGAGUCUAGUUCUUGCAAACCUCAAGAUAAGAAGAAGCAUGCAUGAUAUGCAUACGUGACAAGAGAAGUUAAAGUAAAAUAUGCAUGGGAAUUAUCUCUGCUCUCCGAUCUUCAGAAGUUGCUGACGCGUCUCCUUGUGGCAUUGAUUUCUUGUCGGACUUGGAAGUGCUUUAGCCGUAUCAAAUAGGAUGAUGCAAAGAAGAGGUACAUUGCCACCAUGAAAAAACCCUCUAUCAAAAUUAGUCCAACAUCACUGGAGUUCUGGAAUCCCGUUGCAAGGGAUAAAAAGUAGUUGGCGGCGAGAAUAAACAAUGAAAGGCAAGUCUUAGCAGUGCCAGAACCCAACGGAAGAGCGGCGGCUAUGAUUAUGCAGCUGGAGAUGAGAAAAGUCAUGCUGUUGAGUAAAGUGAAUACGUAUAGACGUGAGCCGCUGAGGAUCAUCUUUCCAGCUUGAUGUGGUUUUCCAUUAGCAAUUUCAGUGGAAUUGGCGGUGACAACAGUCGAGUAGGUCGGGGAAUUUGAAGAAGAAUCUUGCCAGUAUCCUCCCGGAGGACUAAGAGCGGCUUGGUAAGUGGCGGUCGCAAUUAAGGUGCACACCACAAGGAUUAUGUCGCGAGAGGAUUCAUUAUGGACAUAGGGAAUGUGUACCCACCUGUCAAGCCACCGCCGGGUUACAGAGUCGAGAAAAUAAAAAAAUCUGGGCUGUAGCCUCUUCACAACAUCUUGAUCGUUACGAGAAUUCACUUGGAAGAUUUCCAGAGCGGUCUCACCAAGGGAGUUCUUCACUUGUGUAUCUGCCCUCCGACUUAAUAGCUCGAUGAUCUGAAAGAAAUGCAAAAGGAAUAAAAAUGAAGUACGUACCCCUUCAAGUUAAAUCAUUGCUUUAUCCUAAGCUUUACUAUUGUGCACAAGAUGAGCUCUACCCACGAUGCUAGCGAUGCAGCGACCCAUGUACAAAUGAAGAAAGUUUACUAGACCUUAUUUAUUAAUGCCAUCAUUUCAACCAAUAUAAAGAAGUCCUGGAUUUUUUUCAAAGAUGUGCAAUUAAGUACUUUCAUCCAGAAUUAUUUAUGGGAUAAUUAGGGAUUGCCCAUGUGGGUUGCAACAUAGGCGAAUCCACAUAAGUGAUGACUUGAAUGGCUAUAAUCUAGCAUAAAAGUUUAGGAUUUAAUCACGUCAAUUGAAAAGAUUUAGGAUGCAAUUACAUUUUGUAUAUGAGUUUUUUAUUUUUUUUUUCCCAUGAAGAAGAAGACUAUCUUUGAUAAAAGAAUGGACCAACCUAUUAAAACUGGAUUCAAUAUAAGGGUCAAGCCUACCCUUCUGUGACCUUAGGCACGGGAAAAUAGUCAAAAAAAGAAUUGGAAUAGAAGAUUGGGAGUGGAGUUACUACAUCCAUCCCUCCUAAUUCCUUUUCUUCUUUGUUUUGUGCCGAACAACAAUCCCAGCGUUUAUUUAUGUCAAAGUUAAUAUAACAAAUUUCUUUUAGAACGAAAUAGUACGGAUAAUUAUUUUUUGACGCUGUUUCUAUUCCCUUAUACCUAAAUGCGUCAAUUCUUUUCCAACUAUUCCGUACACAUUCUAAUGUACGAGUCGUAGUUCUAUGUGAUAACAAAGUGCAACAGAAUAUCAUAUAUUAUAUACUCCGUUCACUUCUAUUAUUUUCUUGAUGAAAAACGGUUCUUGCUUUCAUGGAGGUCAUUAAUUGCAAAUUGUAUGAUUCCACCUGAUUAUUUGAAGCAAUCCAUAUUCUUUAAAGCCAUAAUUCAUUAUUGGGCAGAUGAAUUUAUCCGCUCAUUUCAUCUCUCUUACUUAACAAGCAUAUGAGAUCUGUGGCAAUAAAUAGAUUAAAAUUGUAUUAUCUUUAAUUAAAUCGAACUCCAAUGCUUUUUCUACGUACAUAACUGACAUAUAUAGAGAGAAUUCAAAGAAAUAAAAUAAGAUUGUGAAACCAACCACGAGAAAUCUUUCUCUUUUUUUUUAAAAAAUAAUUUUAUGCGAUGGUGAGAAGUUCAACAAGAGAGAAAAACGUAUACUGAUUGAGCAGGACUCAAUGAGGACGUAAAAGGACGAGAGAGAGAGAGAGAGAGAGAGAGAGAGAGAGAGAGAGAGAGAGAGAGAGAUCAAAUCGACAAAAUACUCUUUUUUUAUAUGUGAAUUCAACGGUUAACAAUUUUCCUUCUUUGUAAACAUUACACAUAAUAAUCCACUGAAGAGGUGGGUAUUUUCCCAAAGAUUAUUGGCAAAAGUUUGUUUUCAUAAUAUUAAGAGACAUGAAGUCGAACGAUAUCGUGAUAUUAUUUAUUACUCAUGCGGAAACACACAAUUGAUUUGUAGAAAAUAUGUUUUUUUUUUUUUUUUUGGAGAUGUCAAUACGAUCUAAUCAUCACAAUAUUCACAUCACCCGAUGCAUCAUUUCUAUGGAUAGUUUCUUGUGUAUUUUCUAGGUCACAUUAAACGAGCAAAUUUAUGAACACUUCUAUAUGUUCAACACCAUGCUAUGCAACUUCAAAUAUCAAUGGUCAGAUUGACACUCAUAGACAAUAACCGUUGAAUGAUAAUAAUACAUCAUAUAUUGUAACACAAUUUGUAGUUCAAGUCUCCUCUCUCUGAAUGUUUCUAAAACCGUGUAUUUUCGAUCCCUGGUAUUUCAUUAUCAAAACAUUUAUUCCUAGAUUAUAUUACGUCAAAUUCAAGGAUUGAAUGAUAAAAACAAGAACAACCAGGAAAAGCGAAGAACCAUACCUUGGGUUGCCCUACAUUCGCAGCAAUAUGUAAGGCAAUGUUACCAUCUUUGUCUUUCCAAUCCAAUAUUUCUUUCAACUUAGCUCUCUCAAGCCAUCUAAACAACACCUCAAAUGCUUUGAGGUUGUGGUUCUUCAAAGCGACAUGAAUUGCAGUCUCACAUCGGUUUGUCAAGUCUUCAAUGGAUGAUUUGCAAAUGCAUAGGAAUUUGGUCAGGAGCUCCAAUUCAUCAUCUCCUUCUUUCCCGGCGACGUAAUGCAAAGGGGUGAUCCCGCAUCGUCCUAGGACUCGGACCAACUUCGGGUCACGAGUCAUCAGUGCCCUCACGAUGUUAUAAUGCUUAUGUUGCAAAGCGCAGUGCACGGGGCUAUAACCCUCCGAAUUUAGCUUCCGAGCAAACGAUGGCUUCAAGAUGACCAUCUCCAUGGCCACCUCCAUUUUUCCGGCAGCCACAGCAACAUGAAGUGGCGUAUUUGGGAAGGGGGGUUUAGAUACCCGAUCCAAGAGCUCUGGCUCCUCCACAAUUAAGUCAUAUAGCAAAUCAACAUCGUCAAGCUCGAUCGCUUGUUGAAGUCGAGACUCCCUAGCCUUUUUUUCUCCUUUGGGCAAACCCCUGGCCAUAGUGUUACAAGGGAAAUGUAGGAGCAGAAGAGGGGCUCUGCUUGGCGAUGAUCGAUGGAAGUAGCAAACUUGCAAAAUCAUAUAUUAUAUAGUGCCACGGUUCAAUGAACAUUUGAUGUAGGGGAGUCAACAGGUGUACAGGUGGGCCCAAAGGCAGGUGGGGGUUGAGUGGGGUCCACCAUAUCUUGGACGGGGACCGGCGCGUAAUGGUCAGAUUCUUAGGAAAUUGUAGUCUUGUACUUUUACGUGCCUUUGGCUUUCCACUUUUGCUCUUUCGCUUCUUGUCAUGUUUUGCAAGAAUUGCAUGAUAUGAUUCAUCGGGAAGGAAAAACUAUAACGUGUCAUGGCCCGUACGUCAAAGUCGAACUCUAAAGUACUGUAUGGUAUUCUCUUUUUGAAAACUUAUUCAAGCAUUUAAUAUUAUGAGCCUCUGAUGAAUUUUGUCUUGAAAUAUUUUGGUGAUAUAUACGAUAGGAUAUUAUAUUGUGGGUUCAAUUUGAUGCUCAUAGUCAACUUAUAUGUGAGACAUGACAUAGGGACUGAAUCUACUUCGAGAUUUAAUUGCAGAUGAUAUGUUUUUCGAAACUUAAUCAGAACAAUGUCAUUUUUAGGGCUUAAAAAUAGCAGCUAUCGUUACCAUGCCUCACGCCUCACAAAGUGUGAUUGUAAGGUACUCUUGUUAUUGUGACUUCCUUCCAAUCAAGCCUCCGAUUUUCCAAGGUAAGAGAAAAUCAGUCACACCUUACUUGUUAUUGCUAAUCCUAAACCAAUGAAGAUAAUUUGUAGAAUUUAAUAAUACAUUUGAGGAUUUAGUAGCACCAGACCUAUUUCUGUCUCUAUUUGAAACGAGUUCACUUAUAAACCCAAGCACAUGAUUAUCACCUCGAAUGCAUGAUCUCGCAUCAAUUCUUCGAUUCCAUUCGAUACAUGGAGGCUAAUUCUCUACUCAUUAUGAUAGUGGUUUAUUGAAUGAAGAUUUCGAGUUUCAAAUUUAGGAUCAAAUUAGCUCGGAAAAUAAAUCUCUUUAAAUUGUGGAUGCACGACAAAUUUGACAAUUUAUUUAUAAAAUGGUAAAUCCCUGGUGGGCUCUUGAUUUAUUGCUCCUCUUUAAUGUAAUUGGCAGUUGAGCUUUUCAUAGACAUCAAAUCAGAUGGCUGCUAAUAAUAUUUCACUUACUAUUUAAUCUCAAAGCUUAUAACCCACAAGUUUCAGAAAUGCUCUCGUGAAUUGUAACUACACAUUGUCCGAACAAAAGAAAAAUUAUAACUACAUAUUGCAAAACCGUAAUGCAAAAUUAGUUUACAUAGCUACUAGCUUACUUUGGGUAUGAGUUAGUUAUUUAAAUUUAAAUAUCUCGUAUCCUAUCACUAUCAAAAACCUACCUCUAGUUGGAAUUUCCAAACAACCAUAUAAAUGAUGAUAAGUAACUCAAAUAAGAUAGUAACUUUGUUCUAGAGUUGGUUACUCGUGCUUCACAAAUAUAUUGAUAAAUUAUUUGAAUCGUGGAUUAUUUUGAAAAGUUUUUGUUAACUAUAACUAAUUGAUAAGCUCCUAAAAAAAGAUGCGUAAGUUAUAGGGAUAUCUGAUACUUCUGAAACAAUAACCAAAAAAAAAAAAAAAAAAAUGGCAAGUGGACACAAAUAAGAAUCGUUGAUUUUGUAUAAGAGUUGAUGACAUUAACACGUUAGUCAGCCUUUCAAAUGAAUCCAGGUAAAUUAUUGGAACAGUUAAUAAUUUUUAAAUAAUCAAUGUACAUUAAUAUAACUCAAAUAAGAGUUGGUAACUCAAGCCUCGCAUAUAAAUUAUUUUAAACUUUUGAAAAAGUUGGUUAAGGUUUAAAACUGUUGUUAAUGUUGUACCAGUGUUGGUAACUUUAAACCAUUGGUAAGCUUUGUAAAUAAAUAUUGUUAAAGUAUUGGAAUAAGUUUGUAAUGUUGAAACAAUCAAAUAAACUUUGGCAAGUGAACCUAAAUAAGAGUUGCUAUAUUUUGUAAAAGUAUGAGUAAUUUUAACACAUCGUUAUGAUUCUAGAAAAUAUGUCCUUAAAUUAUUGGAACAGUUGACAAUUUUUGAAAAAAGUUAAAAAACUUGAUAACUGAUUAAAACAUAGUGGGAAAUUUCAUAUAAGAGUUUAUAAUUUAAGCUCCACAAGUAAAAGUUAGUCAGUUAUUAAGAGAACCAGUAAUUUUGAAAUAAGUUGAUAAUUUUGUGUAAGAACUGGUAACUUUAACCCAGUGAUAAGUUUCGAAAUAAAUGUGGUGAACUAUUGGAACAGUUGAUAAUUUUGUGGCAAUCAAAUAAAGGUCAGUAAGUUGACUAAUAUAAGAUUUGACUAUUUCAUAUACUAGUCAGUAGCAUUAUCAGGUAAGCUGCGCAAAUAAAUGUUGGUAAAUUAUUGCAACAAUUGACUAAUUUGAAACAAUCAACUAAAAGUGAACAAGUGACUCAAAUAGUGGUUGUCAAGCUAAAAUUAUUUGGUGAAUUGAUGGAAGAAAAAUGGGCAAGUCACUUAAAUUAGGGUUGGUAAUUUUAAUAAAAGUUUGCACUUUAUCAUGGUGGUAAGUUAUACAAACUAAUAUUGAUUAAUUAUGAAAACAAUUGGUAAUCUUGGAAGUACUGAUAUGGUACUUACAAAAAAAAAAAAAAAACAGUCGGUAACUUUAUACUAUGUUACUGGCUAAAUAAGUAUACAUUUCAAGGAUUAGACAUCAUUUGCGAAAAGAAGAAUAAUGUCUCACUUCGUUUUCUAAAAUUCGAAAUUGCGAUGACUACUCAGAAGAUCAAAAAGCAAAGUGCAAGUAAUUGAUGAAAAAAAGCGAAGUGCUAAAUUUGCUAUCACAUGUAUAACGAUUGCGCGAUCAUGUCUUUAUUCCGUUCUUUGUCGGGAAAAAAGGAGAAAAAGGAGAAUUCUUGGAGACAAAAAGUACUUUGCAUAUUUGACUAGUUAAUAGCUUCUUCAAUCUUGAUUACUGGCAAUAUAAAAGGUUUUCUUGCUUGUAGCUAACAAAAGACAACAUAGGGCCUUUGGCAAAGAUAUCAUAUAAUAUAAUGUCUGUACUGUCGUGUCUUUAUUGUGUUAGGCUCUAGCCUCAUUAAAAGUGUUUCUUUCUUUCUUAUGACGAGGUUAGCAAAGACAGAUUAAGUAGUCCAAAUCUGCUCAAGUCAUCCAUGGGUUCACCCAAGACUAGAUUAAUCACUAGUUGGACCAUCUUCAAUUCAUAUGUUAAUCUAUUGUCUACCUUACCACACGAAAGAAAAGAAAGAAGACCAAUAGUUCAUCCCCAAUUUGAAAAGAACAUCUUCUAAAAAGUGGACGCAAUUAUUCUUUAUGUUCGAAAAACGAUUAUACAUUGCUAUUUAAUUGAUCGAUUGAGAUCCUUUAAAAUUACGAGAUGAAGUCACAACCUAUAUCUAUCUUCUCAAUAGGUUAAUACUAUGCUACGUGUGUUAUUGGCUGUUUAAAUUUGUGGUCCCUUUUAUAUUUUUUCCUUUUCCUUCGUUGUUUAUUUCUUUCGUUUUCCCUUACCAUUACUGCCCUUCGCCCUCUCUUUCUCUCUCUCUGACCUGGGUUCGAGCCGCCACCACUUGUCACCUCCUCAAUUAAGUUCUGUACCUUAUCAACAUCGUCAUUUGCUAUUGCCAGUUCAAGCCGAGACUCCCUAGCCUUUUUUUCUUCUUUUUCGGCCAGAACCCGGGCCAUCGUGUUACUAGGGAAAUAGAGGAGCAGAAAAGGGGCUUUGCUGGGUGAUAUGAUCAAAGGGAGUAGCGAACUUGCAAAAUCAUAUAUUAUAUAGUGUCACGAUCACCAAAUAUGUAAUUAGCUAAGUCAACAAGUGUACAGGUGGGCUUAAUGGCUGGUUGGGGUGAGUGGGGCCCGACAUUUCUUUGACAGGUCAGAUUCUCAAGAAAUCGUUAGACUUGUAAUAUUAUGCGCCUCUGUUGCUUCCGACUUUUGCUAUUUCGCUUUUUGUUGUGUUCUGCAAGAAUCGCGUGAUGCGAUUUAUCGAGAAGGAAAAACUCUACUGUGUCAUGGCUUGUAUCUUGGAGUCGAACAGUAAAGUACUGUAUGGUAUAUAUUUUUCUCUAAAAUCUGGAUCAAACAUUUAAUACUCUUGUGCCUCAAAUGAAAUUUAUCUACAAAUGUUUUGGAUGGAAUGUUGUUUAUAUUGGUGAUAUAUAUGGCGCAUGUUGUAUUGUGGUUUCAAUUUGAUGCUCGUAGCCAACCUACAUAUUGAGACAUGACAUGAUGUACUUGCUUAAGGACCGAUUUUGUUUCAAGGGCAUAAUUGCAACUAAAGUGUUUUUUGAGAUUUAAUUAGAGUGAAGUGAUUUUCUAGGCUUAACAAUAGUGAAUAUGAUUUUCAUGCUUCAUCACUUGGCAAAGUGUGACCAUAAAGUCUUCAUGACAUGAGCAUAAGAUGAGUUUGAAAUAUGUCGGUUAUGCGAUAUUGCAUUGUUUAUGAUAUGAUGCAUGUCUUAUGAUUUGUUAGAAUAUAUGCAACACUUGUAAAAUGAGUAAACAUGAUGCAUACUCCUUUUGUAAAGUUGCAUUAUUCUUAACUUGAUCCCAUAGGAAUGGUGAUUUUGUGUUUUUUUUUUCCUUUUUCAUGUAAAUAAAGAGCGAAUAAAGCUGAAAACAAAAUAAAUAGUGCCACUUCCUUCCCAUCAACCCAUCGAAUCUUUCCAAGGUAAUAGAAAAUCAGUCACACAUUACUUGUUAUUGCUAAUCCCAAACUAAAGAAGAUAAUUUGCAGAAUUUAAUCAUACAUUUGAGGAGUUAAUAGCAUCGGACCUACUUCCUCCUUCAUUUGAACAAGUCCACUUAUAAAUCUAUGAGAUUUGGUGAGAUUACUGUUAAUUGUUGUAAAAGUACCAUAAGUCUUUGCCUUGUACUAAAUGUAGAUAGAUUUAAUUGGGUAGAUAAAUGAGGCCAUAAAAGAUUUGAACUCAUGACCUCCUACCCUAAUUCCAUGUGAAAUUUGAUGAAAUUACUGUCAAUUAUUCUAAAAGAUUAAACUAUUAGAUGAAAGCAUGGUUUAUUAUUUAAAUAUUCAAUCAAAACCUAAGCACAUCAUUAUCUCCCCGAGCUCAAGACCUCACAUCGGUUCUGAUUUAAUUCAAUAUACACAGACAAGUUCUAUACUCAUUCCUAUAACAGUUUAUUGAAUGAAGAUUUGAUAUUUGAAUUUAACAUUGAAUUAGCUUAAAAAAUAGAGCUCUUUAAAUCAUGGGUGCAUCCGGACCCAAAAAAAAAAAAAAAAAAUCACAGGUGCAUGACAAAUUUGACAAUUUAUUAAUAACUGCGAAUCAUAGGCAGGUUCUUCAUCACUCCUCUUUAAUGUAGUUGGAAGUUGAGCUUUCCAAUCAUAUAUCAAAUGGCUUCAACUUUUUUUUUUUUUUUUUUUAUCUCAAAGCCUUUAACUCAAAAGUUCCAGGAAUGCUCUCUUGAAUUAUAACUACGUAUUGCAAAACCGUAAUGCAAAAUUAAAUUACCUAGCGACUACUUUAUUUUGAGAAUGGGUUAGAUACUUAAACUUAGAUAUCUAAUUUCCUGUAAGAGUUUAUAAUUUUAAGCAACGCAUAUAAAUGUUCAUAAGUUAUUAAGAGAACUAGUAAUUUUGAAAUACAUUGGUAAUUUUGAAUAAGAAUUGGUAAAUAUAACCCAAUGAUAAGUUCGGAAAUACAUUUUGUGAACCAUUGGAACAACUAGUAAUACAGUGGCUAUCAAUAAACGUCAAUAAGUGGACUCAAAUUAGAGUUGGUAAUUUCAUAUAAUAGUUAGUAACCUUAUCCAUCGGUAAGCUGCACAAAUAAAUAUUGGUAAAUUAUUGAAACAAUUGGUAAUUUCAAAACAAUCAAAGAAAACUUAACAAGUGACUCAAACAUUAAGUUAGAAUUAGUUAGUGACUUAACGGGAGAAAAAUGGGCAAGUCACUUAAGUUAAGGUUGGUAACUUUGAAUAAAAGUUAGUACCAUUACUAAUCUUGGAAGUGUAUGUUAGAAAGUCCAACCCAAGUAUUGAAGCUGAUAUGGGACAGUAUUUCUACACCCCCUCACAUGUAAGCCGAAAGUUGACAGAUGGGGUUGGAUGCACAUAUGCAAAAUGAAUAACAUGGUUUAAUAUUUAAAUAUUCCAACACUCCUAUGUGUGAGGAUCUCUUGCUCCGAUACCAUAAGAUUUUGUGGAACCACUAUCAAUUAUUCUAAAAAUUUAAGCUGAUAGAUAAAGAAAAUUGCAUGAAGAUAGAGAGCACAUAGUUUGCGUUGUUAAUAAUUUUUUAAUAAUAAUUUAACAUCUCGUCUCAUGUGCAAUAUGUAUAGGUACUUUAAAAAAAAAAAAACUGCCGAUAACUUAAUAAUAUGUUGCUGGCUAAAUAAGCAUGCAUAUAAACGAUUGGUGAAAAGAAGAAUACCGUCUCUCUUUAUUUUAUAAAAGUCGAUAUUGUGAUGACCACUUGGGAGACCGAAAAGCAAGGUGCUGGUAGUCGAAAAAAGAAAAGAAAAGCAAAGCUCUAAUGCCGACAAAGAUUAUUGAGCAUAAAAAAGUGAUGUCGAAAUUGUGAUGACUACUGUAAGGAUUAAAAUUAUCAGAACCCUGUCGCUACUGAGUGAUUCAAAAAAACAAGGAGUAAAACUACCCUUGCGACAUGCGUCACCUUAAACCUAUCUUUGAUCAUUGGUGCUAGAGGGCUGGCAAUUUCUGACAUAAAUUAAUAUGGCUAUGCACAAUUAUUUGGCGUACUCAAAAGCAACACGAAUUUAUACGAAUUUAUUAUAUGUGAGUUUUAUAGCAUAGUCAAUAAAAAUGUAGGUGUUUUCCAAUUACACGACCUAACAGAGUUGUGAAAUCCGAUCGAACCAGAUGAAAUUGAGUUGCCAAUUCUUGUGGCAACAUAUUAUAAGCAUUUAUAGCAAAUAAAAAGUAGUUCAUGUGACGAUCUUUUUUAAUACAUAUUUAUUUGUAUAUAUUGUGUAUAGAGUAACAUAUACCGACAAAUGGAAAUGCUGCAUUUCAUUUACCAGACAACCUUCUUCUACUCUCUUCUUUCUCUAUUUUUGGUGCUUGUCUAGCUAUAUGUCAACUCCUUCUUGUAUUUUCACUUUACUAACACAUGGAAAACGUUUGUACUAUCAUGUCUUUAUUCCGUUUUUUGUCGGGAAAACAGGACAAUUCUUGGAGAAUUCUUGGAGACGAAAAGUACUUUGCAUACUUGACUAGUUAAUAACUCAAUAGCGUCUUCAAUCUUGAUUACUGGCAACAUAAAGGGUUUAUUGCCGAUAGCUAACAAAAGACAACAUAAAGGCCAUAGGCAAAGAUAUCAUAUAAUUUAAUGUUCGUGUAUGUCUCCAAUGUGUUGGGCUCCAGCCUCAUUAAAAGUGUUCCUUUGUUUCUUAUGAUGACGUUGGCACAAGGCAAACAAUUCAAAUCUGCUCAAGUCAACCAUGUGUUCAGCAGACACUAAAUUAAUCACCAGUCGGACCAUCAAUUCAUAUAUUAAAGGUUCAACCUGUUGUCUGCCCUUGCUCACAAAACAAAAGAAAGAAGACCAAUGGUCCACGCCCAAUUUGGACAGUGUACAUUCUCAAAAGUGGAAGCGAUUCUUCUUAUAUGGUCGAAAAAAGUUUAUGAAUUGUUGUUUCAUUGAUCAAUCCUUUGAAAUUAUGAGAUAAAAUCACAACUUAUAUUUAUCUUCUAGAUAGGUUAAUACUUUACUACAAUGCUAUUCAAUGUUCAAAUUUAUUGUCCCUUUUCUAUUUUUUUUUUUUCCUAUUGAUUGAUCAUUUACUUCCAUUUUCCUUUUCCUUUUCAUUUUCCCUUCCCCUUAGCCCCCCUUCUCUUAUGAGACAUUCUCCGAUCGGGACGUUGCCAAAAAUAAUCACCGAAGAAAAGCUAUUAAAUCGCUAAGCAAAGACUUCGUGUGGAGUAUCCCAAAUCAUAACUUUGAGGUUUUUAAUUUAAGUAAAUAUUCAAAUCAAUUCAUUUUGGAGUCACCACUAAUCUAUUAUUAGUCAAUAAAAAAAUCUAAGUAAAAUGUGAGAGAAUAUCUUACUUUGCGAACCAGAGAUUUCAUGGAUAUAGAGACUUUAUGUUAGAUAUAUGGAUUAGUAUUAGAUCCACCAUGUCUGUGACUUCUUCCACCACAGAAGCCCGUUGGUGACAAGAUAUGCAUCCCAUGCAGUCAAUGGUGCAUACAAGGGGUGUGUCAUAAGCCUACUAGGUUCUAUUCCAUGCAAAAUACUGCCUUGUAAUACACAAAUGCAUGUCUAAAUAUCUCUUCAAAGUUUAAUUUGAUCUACGUUAUAUAAGUCAAUUUAGAGUAAAUAAACUUUAAUUUAUUUGGAGGGACUUUUAUUUUUGACUUUUCGCUUGUUCAAAUUUAGUGACCCUUGCGCUUUGGUCUUUUUUUUCUACUCUUAAAUACUCAAGAUUGUCGCAAUGUAUAAAUAUGAACACGUAAUAUCUUCCAUAAUUGUUAAAAUUUGGAUAAUAAUUUAAGCUUCGACAAGAAUGCAAAAAACCUACUUUUGACUUUUUAUAGUCCCAAGGAAAACCAAGGGGAGAGGUGAGCGGAACGUGCGUUGAUACCUGAAUUUUGUUGGCAAGCCAAACGUAUAAUCAGAAAGAAAAUCACUUCGAGUUUUAAGGUCCUCUAAUCAUGACAGAGCUCAAUCCCUGAAAAAAAAUAGGUGGGUCGGAUAAUUCUACGUCCAUUACAUCCCACCUACAUAUGGAGAUUAGGUUCAUUGCAUUUCGUUAGGAUUUAAAUCACAUUUCAUGCAUAGAGUAAAAGUUGACUUAUUAAUCAGACUGAAAAAGUUAACCUUAAAUCGUAACGUAACAAGAGGUAUCUUAACAGUGUAAUCGGUGCCCUUGUCGAUCCAGGGGAAGAGCUCAUGUAUAUAUGCUUUUUUUUUUGGUGCUCUGUUGUAUCCUUUUUCUUUUCUACUGUGUAUUGCCAACUUCCCUUAUUUUUAAGGACAAAUUGAUUUAUAUAGGAUGAGAUUAGGGUGUUCUUGCUAGAACAAGGGAUAUCAUUAUUUCCUAGUUAAAUCAAACAGAUAUGUGAUUUAUUCAAGAUAAGAAACCAAGGUAUUCCUAUUUCUUAUUUACCCAAGAUCAAAUUUUCAAUGAUAUUGAGUUUGUUAGUUCAAAAACCAUGGAAUCUAUUAUCAUUUACUUCCCCUAAUGUGACCUUCACAUCUAAUUUUUUGUUACAAAGGGUAUCUAUUGAGCUUGUCCAAAUUUUAUACUCUUGCAGGCUUAGCCCAGAUAAUUUAAUUAAACUCCAAGUUUCACUGCUUAAGUCCGUUAGCUCCUAUCCAAUUAGAAUGCAAUCAUGUGGGCUUAUUAUAAAAAUAAUCUUAACAUGCAAAUGAUAUUUAACAAUAUUUUUUGUUGGGGUCCAGGAUCAAACCUAUUUUGCUGUGCAAUAAUGUAACUAAAGGGGUGUCCAAAUUUAAAUGUCAACAAUAUAUAACAAGGGAUCAAGGAUUAUACAGUAUUCUUGAGUUUCAUCUUUCUUACAUCUUAAAAGGUGGCUUCUAAAGAGAAGAUAUCGAAAGCAAAAAUGAUGAUACUGAAUCUAUAUAGUAUCUUUUUCAUAUCCAACCUUCUAAUCUGUGGUAAUUCUAUAUAAUAUUUCAGUCAAUUGCUUUCAUUUUAUUUUGGGCUUUUGAUGUUGAAUCUGUCAUUGUAAACAUUUUUCUGGCCUUUCAAGCUUAGUUGCAUAUGAUUCGUCAAGCCACGUAAUCAGCGUAUUUUCGAUGAUUAUUAGUUAAUCCAUGGGAAUGGCUUCGAAGACCUCUAAUUUCAUAUUUCCAGAAACACUAGGCAAAGUAACACUCGCUGUUCAAUUAGGCCACUUUCACUAAUCAUAGCACUACUCUUUCGAUCUUUAUAACAAUUGCAAUGGCUCAAUUGCGAUCCAGGGGACCAUCAAGAAACUGAAACUAUUUUGCUAGUGGAAAAAGAAGAACGAAAAUUAAAACUAGAAAAAUGUAAUGUUCACAUGCAACCAAUGUGAAUUGCUCAUAUUACUAUCAUAAUGUGAAUUUGGGAGGAUUUUGAGCUUGAAAAAGAAUAUCAGGGGAACACGUUUUUCAUGACGAUGGAGAGAUGAUAUGGAAAAAAAAAAAACCCUCUCACGUUGAUCUCAAUAUAGAUAUAAUUGAGAUUCUGGCGGAAAAGUUUGAAGUGAUAGAAAACGAAAAGAGUAACAAUGAAUUCGAGAUUUCAUUAUACAAAAAAUUUAAAGAAUCAAUUGAUGGAUCAAUCAUGAAGUUUGGUUUGUAUCUUUUAUUUGAGCAAGAAUUUUUUUUUACUGAUUUUGCAGAAAUGAUUCCAAAUUCCAAGAAGACUGAAGUAGGUAUGCUAAAUUAUAUAACCCAACAUUUUCAAAAACUCAAGGUCAAGCCUUUUUUUUUUUAAAGUAGAGAACGAUGUGGGGCAACUCAAGUUUGAAUUUACGUUUUCUAUUUGAUGAAUCAAGCAUUGUGAAAUUUGAUUUUUCCCUCUUUAAUUUAGUUGGGGAUAUUCACUUUAUAUAUAAUAGGGAAAAUAUUACAAAUGAUUCCUGAACUUUCAUCUAAUGUUCAAUUUCAUCAAUGAUAUUUCAAUUUGCUCAAUUUGGUCCAUAAACUUUCAUCUAAUGUUCUAUAUAGUCCCUAACUAUUUGAAAAUUGACAAAUUUCCAUUUUUUUCAAUACCAAACUUUUUUUUUAUAAAUUAAAAAAAUACCACAUUUAUAUAAAGUAAUAAAUGUCAAUAUUUCUUUCCUUUCUCUAUAUUAAAAAAAAAAAUGGAAAAUAGGGAUAGUAGUAAUAAACAAGGGUGAAUCUUGCAUUUUGAUUUCCUUUUUGUAUAUGCAAAUUACUUGAAUAAUGUACAAAAGCCCAUCAAUCGAUUUUUUUUCCCUUUUCGGUGAAUUUAUAAAAAAGAAAAAACACUUUGGUAUUAAAAAAAGGGAAAUUAGUCAAUUUUCAAAUAGUUAGGGACUAGAUGGAAUAUUAGAUGAAAGUUCAUGGACCAAAUUGAGCAAAUCAAAAGCUCAAUGAUGAAAUUGAACAUUGGAUAAAAGUUCGUGGACCAUUCAUGACAUUUUUCUUAUAUAAUAUUUGAAUUUCUUCAUUUUGUCAUUGGAAUAUCCUUUGCGAGAACCGGAGGAUUUUGAGCUUGAGGAAGAAUCACAGGGUGAGCAAGUUUUUUAUGAUGACGAAACUUAUUAUUCCAAUUUAGAUCCAAGCGUGCUAACAACUGAAGGUUUGUCGACAAUUUAAUUCUUCAUUCUAAAAAAACUAACUAAAAGAAAAAAGAUAAAGAAAGGAGGAAUAGAUAAAAAAUAAAAAUAAAUUAAAAAAAAUGAAGAAAGACUCAUUUAAAUUUAUUAAUAAGAAGGCCGAUGCAGACCCACUAUAACGCAAUCCCUAUCGCGCAGCCCAAUUCUGUCAUCUGCCCAUUUUUGAAAGAGGGCCCGGCCUUCCUUUAUUCUGGAAAAACUUCCAAACGACCAUGGGGCGUCUCUCUCACUAAAGACUCUGGGCUAUCUUUCGUUCCAUCGUCAUCGUCUCUGACGACUUCUCCCUCCGAUUUGAUCGUUGCUCAAGGUCUGUUCUGUUGUUGCUUUUCUUCAUGGCAUUAUGGGUUAUGCUCUGUUUCCGUUGCUUUGUACGCGAGACUGAGGCCGAGAACUCUAGUUGUGUUUUUAUGCGAAAAUAAUCUCCGAUUGAGGGUCUAUUUAUUGAUUUGAGCUGCCUCCUUUGAUGAUAUUGUGGUCAUGUUGGUUUUAAAAUCACUAAACUGAGAUGCCCGCCAUAUGUUCGUUGAAAUGCCUGUGUGAAACUCAUGUGGCAAAGCUGAGGAUUGUUACCAUGCUUAGCAUCUGAAUUGAUUGUUGUUGGGUACAGGCGUUUAAAAUUCCCAUCAUGCGUAGUGUUUGUGUAACUGAGUAACUCAUUUAAGCAUGUUCACGGGACUGAAGUUUGUGUUCGCUGGUUGUGGAAGCAAAGUCGAGAAAGAUCUUGAGUGAGUUAGCCUGUUAAACGUUUGUGUGUUGAUUUUUGUAGUAAGAUGUAUGAGCGUAAGGUUCAAAACACUCUCUGCAUUGCUUAUUUCGCAAGCAAAAAUUGAGUUUGAAGUCCAUGUGGUUAUUUGCUUGAAUUGUGAUCGCGACUGAAACUAUUCUUCACCAAUAUAAAUUAAACCUUUUCUAGAAGCAUCUGGAUUGAAAUGUUGCAUUAGUAUCACGUGGAGAAUCAUUUUCCAAGACGCUCACCAUUUGUUCGACGAAAUGCAUAAGUCAGAUUUGCAAUUGUUAGCUUGUGUUAUGGAUCAUUUGGAAAGCAAUCCGUCAUGCCUCAGAUGAUUUUCGUUCAAAAAUACUAACUACUUGUAGUGUUUGCUAUUUCAUUUCCUGUUGACCGAGAUUUUCCUUCACUUAAUGAUGAUCUGAUUUUAUCAUCUUCGAAUACUUUACUGACCACCUGUUUCUGCUAUUGUAUGCGUUCUAUGUGACUCAAUGGUGAUUAGCGGUGGUUCUCGGCGAGGAAUAUGGUUUCAAAUGACUGAUACGCAUGACAAUUCUCCGGUAAAUUUCAUUAGCCACAUUCCAGUUUUUACGUUCUCUUCCUGUGCAUAUUGGUACUGCUUGGUUCGUAUUUAUUAAACAUUAAGUGGUUAAUGGCAGUGGAAGUGAGGGUUAACGGCAGUGGCCGAAAAUGAUAGUUCACUGGGGUUAUCCGGUGGCAUAGGAACAUGCUAUGGUCAAUUCAUGUUAAAUUCAGACAUAAUGCUCCAAAUUGAUGUGCCCAAAAGUUGCUGAAAAUAAGCCUGACUUUUCUGGUCAUGAAUCAUGAUUUGAGGAUUUCUAUGAGACGUAACUUUAAUGCGAAUUUGAUGCCACUGAUCACGUUAGCUUAUACUUUUGUAUGCCGAGUCGAAAGAGGAAAUUCAUGUUAAUUAUGUUGUCCUUGUUACGAAUUUGUUGGCAUCAUGGCUGUUAGAGCUGCAUAUCCCAUUUACUGAGCUCCCAUGCUAUUUGGAAUUGGUCAGCAUCUGCAGAUAGUGAUGAGCCCAAAGUUUUUUUGGCGAAACCACAAUUGAUGAAGUUAGACUUCACGCCAAGGUGAAGAUUUGUUGAUUAUGGCUCGAAGUUAAUUCCGAUUAUUUUGAAAUUCGAUUUAUAAUUGAAUCGCAAGGAAACUCGGGCCGUAUUAGGAGGACUUUGCCAAUAGGACCGUGGGUGAUGUAAAAAGGAAAAAUAAUUUCCUACAAGACUGCCUUUUUAUAGAAGAUGAAAUCAUGUUGACACCACAUAUGGUCUCAUAUUUUUUUUUGCAUAUAAAUACUCUUGUUGAGUGCAUAGUGAGUGUGUUUAACAUGUGUGAAAAUUUGGGACAGACACAGAGUAUAGAGAGCCAUCAUCUAAGAGAGUGACAGUGUAAUAAAACUCAUUUCUUGUGAUUGAUUCUUAUGGGUUUUUGGUUUUAUUUUGGAUUGGAAAACACUUAUGAUUCUAAUCUCCUCUUUGCCAGUUAUAAUGGAACCAUUUCUUCAAUCUCUCUCCAUAUAGUAGGUGUCAAACCAUUGAGGUUUUAUUUUUGCAAUUUAUUUCUUAUUCAAAUCAUUUUUUUUUUUAACGCUUCCACGUUAGUCGUAAUAAAUCACAUCUUAAAGGUAGAGGUGGCAAUAUGGAUCUCAAAUCCAUUGCCUUUGACCAACAACAAAACCACCAUCAUGACCACUGUGUAGGCAUCAAAAGAUUUCUCUCUAGGCCCUUCGUGCUUGUAUGAUCCGGGCAUGCAUAUGUGUGAGUUACGACUCAUGCUUUUUUUCUUCAUUGUGUUGGGUUGAUAUUAGAACCUGGAAGAUUGUGGGAACGAGAUGUUUGGUAACAACGACAACAGUGAAAACUGCCUUGUUGACAAAGAUCCAAGCCUGAGCUAUGAUGGUGAGAAUCUCAACAGGGAGCAGCAGUUCAGUUUGAUGCGGUUGACUAUGGACGCCAUUGCAAACUGAAUUUGUGUCCUAGGGCUGGAGUGAAGCCUAGGUGGGGACAAAGAAGAAGUGCUGUGGGAAAAUUGAACCCAAGUCCAACCAUUCGACGAACCUAUAACAGCAAUACAAAGUAAUGGGAUGUCCUGUUUAUCCGAAGACUUAAUGUUCAAGCGAACAGGAUCUUGAGGAGUUUGAGGGGCAUAAACAGUGCGUUGGUAGCCACAGAAAGGCGUGGAGGUGAUGGUCACGAUUAUUAUGACAGACGAAUGGUUGACAUGGUGGAGCCUGUCGUGGAUAUCACCACCAAGAAUUGUAACCAUUACCAUUGUCACAGAGAAUUCCAUGAAUUCCCUGCAAGGUUCCUUAUCUAAUGGAUUUUUGAACCUGAAAGAUUUUAAUGUAGAUGUAGGUCAUCUUUGGCAUUGCGUGUAUAUUUCCAAAGAUCGACAAGCAAACCUCUUAGCUUGUACAUUGAAGGGAAAUGCAUUUUAUUUUUGUGGGAUCAAGUUCAGGUUGAGUGGAAAAGAGCAGGUGAAGCGCCGAUUAGAACGUGGCAUAAAAUGUGAAAUCUGUUAAGGCGACGAUUUUCAUGGAUUGAUGAUCAAGCUGAACAAGCCAGCUUCAUGUUAUCCUCGAUAACAACCAUAAAAGGAUCGAUAAUUUCCGUUGAUAAGGUGGUUGUUGAGCCUCCGGAGCAAGAACUAGAAGUUUUUUAAUUUCCUUUUCAAGGAGGAGGAUUUUGAGCUUUGAAGAAUAAUCUCAGGAUGAGCAUGUCUUCCAUGACGAUGGAGAGAUGAUUUUAGAGAAAAACCCCACCCAUGUUGAUCUGAAUUCAUGUACAUACGAGAAUUCUAUUGUUUGGUCGGAAGAUACAUAUGAAGUUUGGGUGAAGAAAAUUGAAUCGACAGAAAAUGUAAAGAAGAACAGAAGAACAAAAAUUUAUGUCACUAUGACAGGCAAUUGGAAAAAUCAAUUGAUGGAUUGACCUUGCAGUUUGGUUGGGAUCUUUUCGUGAAGCAAGAAAUUUUGAUUGAUUUUGCAAAUACAGUUCCAAAUUUCUAUAGGAUUAUAGUACAUAUGCUUGACUAGAUAAUUCAACAAUUUAAAAACUCGAGGUCGAGCUUUUUUUUCUAAUAAAGGGGAAAUGAUGCGGGAAGCCUUAAGUUUGGAUUUAGUCUUUUAUUUGAUGAAUUUAGGACAUUGAAGUCUGAUAUUUCCUUCUUUACUUAAGUUGGUUGAGGAUAUUCACUCAAUAUAUAAUAUUUGAGUUUAUUGUUUCUACUAUUGUAACUUCAUUAAAUGAGUUGAUAAAUUUUAUUUUUUAUUGGAAGAUACCAUAGGAUCUAGUUGAAUUUUUAGGUUUAGCUAGACAUUUGUUAUAUUCUCUGUAUUUCUUUUUCGGUUUUUUUAUCUUGUAAUAAUUUUUAAAGAAAGGGUUGCAACUGUAGUUAGUUGUUAUGUUUUACAGGAUCAUGCAUUUAGCCUCUUUCUAGAAAUAAAAACCCUAAAGAGAUUUCCGUCCAUGGGUAUUGUGUGUGUACGCUUCGGGCAUUCGUGUUUGCGAGCUGCCACUUGGUGCUUUUUGUUUCCAUUGCAACGAUGUUUAAUUAGGGGGGAAAAAUGCUACACGAAGUCUCGACUUCAAGCAAGAAUAAAGGCCUCUCAGGAUCAAGGAAUUAAUAGAUGAAUUUAUUACAUGCAACUAAUAAGGAGAGUCUUGUUCUUGCAAACCUCAAGACUAGAGACAUACAUGAUAUGCAUACGCGAGAAGAAUACUUAAAGAGUAUAUAAUACUUGCAAACUAUUUCUCUGCUGGAUAAGAACUCCCUUGGGGGAAGGUGAGAAGGUCGAACCCCAGUGGAAGCAUCGGCGUCUUAAAAGUGACGCCGGGAUGGUGGGUCCUCCGCUAGCGUCACUCCAAAGUUUACCCAACGGCUACCGGCUGACGGAGUUCCUGGAUAUCAAAAAAAAAAAAAAAAACUAUUUCCGAUCCUUCAAUUCUAGCAAGUCGCCGACGCGUCUCCCUGUGGCAUCGCUUUGGAGUCGGAUUUUGUAUUUGUAAAAGUUCAACCACAAGAUCACGGGGACCACCAACACGACACCCAGCAUGCUCAUGUACAAUGUCAUUAUGAGAAGUCCUGCGACUACAUCGGAUUUCGGGAAUGCGAUUGUAGCGGUAGCACAGUAGACAUCACUGAGAAUCAGCAUUAGCAAGUAAACCGGGAGAGUGUGGGGCAAUAGGGGAAUAGCGGUGAUCCAGAUUGUGAUGAUGGAGACCAAAAACGCCGUACUGUUGAGGGCCGUGAACUCAUAUAGUUUCGAACCGUUCAGGAUAAUGUCUCCGGCUUUAUGUGGUUUUUCAACAGCAAUGCCGCUGGAAUUGGUAACGACAGUGGAAUUGGAAGAGUUAUCCUGCCAGUAUCCUCCAGGAGGACUCAGCGCGGCCUGGUAAGUGAUAGUCAUAAUUAAGGUAGCUAGUACAAGGAUUAUGUUCCGAGCAGACUCAUCUCGGAGGACAAACCAAAUUUUGAACUUCUCAAAGACGGUUGGUUCCAUGCUUAAAAACUGUGAUAGAGGGAAGUUGCCAGUAGGAGGUCUUGACGCAGGUGCUCCCCGGAAUAACUUUUUUUCAAUCAACUGGUAGAUUUUCAGAGGUACUUUGAAAUUCCCAAUCAACAGGUCAACGAUCUGGAAGAAAUGCAAAGGGCACACAAUGAACUAUACAUGCCUUGAAUUUUAUUCACUGCUUUGUCACUACUUUUACUAUUGUGCACAAAGUCAGCUCAUGCCAUGCAAGUUUGAGGAGAUAAUAACACCACGAGUGAUAACUUUCAUACAACACUCGCUUGAGGGUCAUAAUUUUUUUUUCCGAUCACUUGAGUGCCAUAGAAGUGUUGGAAAUCCGACAUGGCAUGAUCGUUAUGAUGAACAUCUUUUACAAUGUUAUGAUAUUCAAGUAAUCGAUUGAAAAAUUAUAUGACACUCAAGUGAUCUAACAAAAUAGUUAUGUCAUUCAAGUAAGUGCCAUACAAAAGUUACAUAGCUCAAGUGAUCAUGAACAAAAAGUUGUGGCCUUUAAGUGAGCGCUGUACGAAAGUUAUGACACUUGUUAUCUCCUUUUCCCUAAGCUUGAGUGAUAUUCAUGAUGCAAUGACCGACAUACUAUGGGAACAAGUUUACUAAAACUUAUUUAUAUAAUCCAAUCAUUUCAACCCAUAAAGUGAAGUCUCACUUGUUUUCAAAAAGUGUGAUCUAGUCAUCUCACCCGAAAUUAUAUAUAUGAUAGCUAGGAAUUGCUUGCAUGACUUGUAACAUAAGCAAACUCACAGAAGUGCUAACCUGAUGCACUAUGAUUUUUCAUAGAAGUUUAGGACUUGGUCAAGUAAACUAAAAGGUUUAUGACUCAAUUUAAUUUCGGACAUGAGUCUUGUUGCUAUGAAGAGCAAGACUACCUUAGAUAUGUGUGUUUAUAUCCUUUAUUCAUAAAAUUCAACUAGUCGGGGAGUAAUUUUCCCAUUCACAAAUUGAUUAUUUUUAUGGUUGUGUUGAAUUGUCCUUGUUAACUUCCAUUUUACUAGCUUGAAUGAAUAUGUUCGGAUGGACUGAUUUUGAAUGGAGGAAAGAGAUUUUGCUAAUCAGUAAGAAAAACAAAAUACCGCAAAAGGAUGAAUUCACUGUUGUGUAAGGUAGGGGUGUAUUAUUAUGGAAAGAGUUGGAAGAGAGGUAUUCAUCCAAAACCAUUCAGCUUAGAGAGAGACCUAGAGCUCACUAAAAACUGAGUUUUACAGGGGUCCCAAGGGAAACGAUUUUGAUUGUACAUUUUCUCGCCAAUAAAUAAACUGUAAGCAAGGAGAUCUCUAUAUCACUCCCUUGUUUCCCUUCCAAUUUCUCAAUAUCCUCCAACCAAAACAGUGUUAGGCCAAUCAAAAUGAACUCAACGUAGAAGCAUUACGAGCUUAAAAUAGUUUUCUCACUAGCAGCUCUCGAAAUGAAACUAUGGGCUUUUUUUGAUAAAUCUGAAAAACAAGCGUUAGCAUAGGUAAUCUUAGGCGUUGAAAAUAGAAGUAAAAAAUUGUUUGAUAAUAGUUAAAAGUACAUCACUGAAUAUCGUUAAUUUCUUUCCAAACAAGGAAAUGGGAUUACUACGGAUAGGUUUUAACAAUAUAAUUGUGAAGAUUCUAUUUACUAUCCAUUUCAAGGAAUACUAGGUUAAGUGAGUAUUUUGACUAUAUUGAAUCUUUUAAGUCAAAUACUAAUUAAAAUUGUCUUACAAGUUUAAUAUCAUUCAGUGUUUAAUUUUUAAUUUCCAACGCUUAAUUGGGUUUUCAUAGAGGCCCAAAUGUGACUAAUAAAUUAAAAAUUAAUAAUAAUAAAUAAUCUACUACUAAUUUAGAGAGAAAUAAAAUGAUUAGAGUAAUCACUAAGUAAACGAGAAUGGAUCAACCUGUGAAAACUAUACUCAUUAUGAGAGUGAAGCCUACCCCCUCGUCAUGUCCAUCCCUCCCAAUCCCUUUCCUUCUCUCCAUAGAAAACAAACAAACAAAUAAACAAACAAGGUGAUCCCGUUCAAAUAUUCUCUCUCUGAAUGUUUCUAACGUCACGUAUUUUCAACUUCUGGCAUUUCAUUAUCGUAACAUUUGUUCCUAGACUAGAGAACGUCGAAUUCAAGGAUCGAACAAUAAAAGCAUAAACAAUCGUGAAAUCGAUGAACUAUACCUCAGGUUGCGGCUCUUUGGUUGAAGCAAUAUUAUAGACGGUGUUACCAUCUUGGUCUUUCCAAUCCAAGAUUUCUGUUAGAUGGACUCGCUUAAGCCAUCUAAACAAAACCUUGAAUGCUUUGAGGUUGUGGCUAUUGACGGCAACAUGAACCGCAGUCUCGCAUUUGCUUGUCAAGUCUUCGAUGGAUGAUUUGCAAGCACAUAGGAAUUCAGCUAGGAGCUCCAGCUCAUUGUCUCCUUCCUUCCGGGCGACGUAAUGCAAAGGGGUGAACCCGCAUUGUCCUCGAACUCGGACCAACUCUGGAUCAAGGGUCAUUAGUGCCCUUACGGUGUGAUAUUGCUCUCGUUGCAAAGCCAAGUGCAUGGGGCUAUACCCUUCCGGAUUUAGCUCCCGAGCAAACGAUGGCCUCAAGAUGGCUAUCUCCAUGGCCACUUGGGUUUUGCCGGCUUCGGCGGCAAAAUGUAGAGGAGUAUCUGGGAAGGGAUGCUUAGAUACAUGAUCUAAGAGCGCUCGCUCCUCCACAAGUAACUUAUGUAGCUUAGCAACAUCAUCCUUUUCUAUUGCUAAUCGAAGCAUAGACUCCCUAGCCUCUUGUUCUUCUUUUUCGGCUAGACUCUUGCCCAUCGUGUUAAAAGGGAAAUGUAGGACAAGAGGGGGUUUGCUUGUUGAUGAUGGAUAGAUGGAAGUAGGAGUAGCGAACUUACAGAAUCAUAUAUAGUGCCAUCGUCCACGCAAAUUUGAUAAGGUGUGUCAUUGUUUAUGAUUUAUCACGUAGGAACAAUUUGAUUGGUUGGGGGAUCUUUUCCUAUCAAAGAACUUACAUGCGAAGUAACGCAAAGCCUGAGCCAAGUCAGCAAGAUUAUUUAUAUUAAUCGAAGAAGUCUAAUUAAUCCUAGCCCAGUAAUUUGCGGUCUGAUCUUUUUGUUUUUUAUAUCGUUGCAUGUCAUUUCUCCACAACUACAUGAUAUUGUGGGGAGUAGCAACAGAGGCUGUCUGGAUAAAUCACAACUACACCCACCCGGUUUGCAAAGAUGGUAUCUACUUAAAACUGUGGGAAGCAUAAGAAUUGCUUAAAUUCCACUUAUGGCGAACUCAAUAAUCUGAUUAGAAGUUAGGAAAACUUUAAAUCUUCAAUUGACCAAAUGCCCAAACUUAAGCCCUUUUUCUACACUUAUCCCCAUUUUUGUCAAGAAGAUUAAAUCAAUAUCUAUAAAUUGGUGAGUCAUUAGCGGGUUCUUCAUCACUUAUUCCUUUGCAAUUUGCAAUUGAGUUUUCCAUAAUUAUAAAUCAGACAGAUACUAUUAGGAGUGAGCAAUCCAGCUGGAACAAUCCGCGAACCAACCUGAACCAGCCUUAUCGGUUGCAAGCUGGUUCACAUAGGGCUCAGUUUGAUUUCCGGAUAAAAAGAUUGGGAACCAAUCUUAAUCAAUUCAGUUCCCAAUUCUAUACCUUGAACCAAUUGAUUUUACCGAAAAACCGACCUUGCAAGACAAAGUUCUAGGAUUCAGCCGGUUCACUACUGAUCACAAAUUAAUCUUUGUUCUCUUUUAUCAGAUUCUCUCUCUCUCUCUCUCUCUCUCUCUCUGAGAGAUUGGUCAAGUCUCUUUGACGCCGAGCGACUGCCCCUCUUCAGUGGCUCGAUCUCGACUUCGUUCGCGAUUGGCCACUCUUUUCUCCACUCCGAGUUACUCUCUAGGUUGGUGUUGUUUUUGAUUUCUUCGUGGAACGGUGUCUGAGCUAAAUUUCCUCCCCCAUCUAUGAGAUAAUCCCCUGACUCCCUGUGAGGAGCACUAGGGUGGUGGGGUAAGGUCAUGAUUUUAUUCGGUCAGUGGUGAUGCCUUGUGCAUAAAGGUUUUCUGGAUUAUAGCAUUAAAGCUGAAUAACUCUUGCCACUUAAAACAAUGACUUUUGACGAGUGAAAAUAGGGUUUUCUUACCAAAAAAGCCAAAAAGCGUGACCAAAAUGGCUAUUCUUUUGAAGUUGGGUCUUUCUUUAUGAUUUAUUCCGUACAAACAAUUAAAGUGGUUUGGGGGGGGGGGGGGUCUUUCCAUGUCAGACGACUUGCAUGCGAAGAUUCCUAACCCGUGAUCCAAGAUACUUCAGAUUAAUCGAAGAAGUCUAGAUAAUCUUGGCCACUAAGGUUUUGUUUUGGCCACUUGAAAGACUUAAAAUUAAGAAAAAGACUCCAAUCAGAGGUGGAGUUUGCGAUCGAUUGAAUUCCAGCAUUGAAAUUCUCAUCAUCCUCACGGUUUAAGUAAUUACGGCCUUCGCCUACCAGAGCGAGUGUAGUUGUGAUUUAUCAAGAUAGCCUCAUAUGCUACCCCCCACAGCUUCAUGUAGCAAAAGAGAAAUGGAAAAUUGUCCAAAAAUCAUUAACUUAUUGUACGACGGCCAAUUUAAAUAUCUUUAAAAAAAUUACAAAAAUUGUUCACAUUGACGUUGGUAAGAAAGACCGAAUUGGUAAGAAAGACCGAAUUGACAAAUACUGAAAAUGUAUAGGACUAAAUUGAUAAAAUUAAAAAGUUUAUAACUAAAUUGAAUCUUUAUAGUAUGUUUAAGACUUUUUUGAUAAUUUCUGGGAGAAGUGACACUAAACGAUACUAAAAGAAAAAAGAGAAUCAGAUUAUAAAUUAUUCCCUUAGAAUUAAUUAGACUUCUUCAAUUAAUUUAUUAUACCUUUUGUCUUUUAGCAUAUUGUAUUCGAGAUAUCUGUCUGCAUUUGUGUAAAUAAAAUAAAAUAAAAUAAUCAAACAAUCAAUUAUUAAUUGACCUAUGAAUUUUAAAAAGGAAUGCAUGUGGAACCGCAUGCAAAAAGGCUUCCUUUUUCUCUUUCCUUUUUUCCCGAAUGCUCUGAAGGCCCGAGAAUUAUAAAGCCCAAGGAUGACAGGAGACUGAAAAUGAGUUUUGUAUAUCCAUGUCAUUUACAAGACAAACUAUUUCUUGUAUUCUCUGCUGGCUUUGGUGUUUGCCUUGCAAUAUGUCGGCUCCUCUUUGUAUUUUUACUAUGCUAUCAUGUAUACAAUGGAUGUGUUACCAUGUCUUUCUCCCGUUAUGAAGACGCAAAAGGUAAUCUACUUUGCAUACUUGACUAAUUAAAAGCAUCUUCAGUCUUGACUACUGAUUUAUCUCCCAAAAAAAAAAAAAAAAACCAAAUAGAAAAAUCUUGACUACUGGCAAAGCUCAGGAUCUGGGUUUAUAAAUAUGGGAGUUCCCGUUAAGACCAUCUACAGGCUUUAUAGUAUUGAUAGCUAACAAAAAGACAGCAUAAAGUCCUUAGGUAAAGCCAACUCGAUGUUUUCUGUAUGAGCACCACAUGAAUAUCUCUUAUAGUUCCUUGAUCAUAACGUGGAUGAUUUAUUUCAAAUUGAAAUGAUAGAAGUAGAUUUAGUUUGGCGCACAAAAGCCGACUUAUGAUAGUAACUAAUUACAAUAUGAUAUGUAUGUUCAUAGUUUUAUUAACCUCCUUUUUUCCUUCUUUAUUUUUUUGGGGUCACUACUAAACUUUAGAAAUCUUAGGAGAGGAAAUGGGGUUUGUUUGCUGAUUCCACCGGACCACUUUUUCAUAUUCAGAUUUCCUGCAUCAAAAAAGCAUAUCUUAUGUUCGUGUCCACAAGCAUCGUGGUCCAUACCCUAGGGCAUUUCCGAGAGAGAUUCUUUAGGUCAUUGCUAGAGAUCUUCCAUGUCAAGGCAAAUUAAAAUUGUUUGUUUUAUUAUGAUUCCUUUUUUUUAGAAGAUACUCAUGUAAAUAAAUUUUAAACAGAUUAUGAUACUGAAAUAUCUGGAUAUGUUUCCGUCAAUUUAAACUUGUAAAGAGCUACUUAUGAAUAUCGUCGAAAGAAAUCCAAAUUAAAAGGUUUGUGGAUGUGGAAGUUACGAAUGCUAGGUCAGACCUGAGAUAGAGGCGUAAAUUAGAGUCAAGUUUUUCAUUUGUGUGUCGUUCCAUUACACAUUAAAAAAACUCAACCUAAAUUAACGCCCCCCACACCCCCCCCCCCCACCCCCCUUCCCACACCAACACGGCUCUGUCUCUGUGUGUGUGUGUGUGUGUGUGUGUGUGUGUGUGUGUGUGUGUGUGUGUGUGCGUGUGUGUCUGUAGUGUGCAUGUGUGGACUGGGAGGAGAGGGUAAAGGCCGUGAUUCGAUCGGGAGAGGAGGAAGGGGGUCACACGUUGAUACUGCCUCAUUGACAAAGAUGGGGGCCUGAGCUAUGAUGGCGAGCAUCUCAACAAAACUGGAGAAGCAAUUCGGUUUGAUGCGGUUGGCCAUGUGUUGGCGAAUGAAGCCAUAUUACUAUUAAGGGCCUUUGUUGUUUUUUCCAUUAAUUUUGCUUCUAAGUUAAAAGUGCCUCUGUGCAGAAACGUAGUCUAAAUUUGGGUGAAAUUUGAUAACAAAUUUUCUAGUGUGUUCUUUCGAUUCAGUUUUUUUAUUUAUUAUUAUAUUUUGUCUAAGUGAAUUGAUUACUUGCGCUAUUUUUCGGAAUUAAUGUGUGAUUCCUAACACUAUGGACGCCAUUGCGAUCUGACUUUGAGUCCUAGGGCUGGAGAGAUGCCUCGGUGGAGACAAAUAAAUAGUGCCGUGGGAAAAUUGAGCCCAGGACCAACCAUUCGAUGAACCAACUUCGGCGGUCCAAGUUAAUGGGAUGUCCUGUUUAUCCAAAGGCUUCAUAUUCGAGCGAAAAGAAUUUCUAGGAGUUCGACCGGCAUAAACAGUACGCUGGUCGCCACAGACGGCGUGGAUGUGAUGGCCCGUGAUUAUUGCGACAGACCAAAGAUCGACAUAGUGGAGCCUGUCAUGGAGAUCACCACCAAGAAUUGUAACUAUUACCAUUGUCUCAGAGAAUUCCAUGAAUUCCUCGCAAGAUUCCUUAUUUAAUGGAUCUUUUAACCCCGAAAGAUUUUCUUGCAGCUGUAGAUCAUCUUUUGGACUGUACGUCGACAAGCAAAUCUCUUAGCUUUGUUGUUUGAAGGGAGAUGCUCUUUAUUUUCGUGGGAUCAAGUGCAGGUUGAGCGAAAAAUAACAAGUCGAUUAGAACAUGGCAUAGAACGUGAAUUCUGUUAAGGUGGCGAUUUUCAUGGAUUGAUGAUCAAGCUAAACAAGCCAGCAUCUUAUCGUCCUCGAUGACAACAACCAAAAAAUGAGCGGCACUUCUUUAAUUUCCGUUGAUACGGUUGUCGCUGAGCUCAAAAGCAAUAAGUCAAGUUUUCGAAUUCCCUUUUCAAGAAGGGGAUUUGGAGGAUCUUGAGCUUGAAGAAAAAUCUCAAGGUGAGCAUGUCUUCCAUGACGAUGGAGAAAUGAUUUUAGAGGAUAGCCCCUGCCAUGUUGAUUUGGAUAUAGAUACAAGAUUUGGGCAGAGAAAUUUGAAGUGACAGAAAAUGGAAAGAAGAACAGAAGAACAAAAAUUGAUUUAAUUAUGACAAGCAAUUAGAAUAAUCAAUUGACGGAUCGAUCUCGGUUGGGAUCUUUUCUUCAAGCAAGAAAUCGUGAUUGAUGCUACGGAUAUGGUUCCAAAUCCCAAUAGGAUUUUAGCACAUAUGCUUUAUUAGAUGACCCGACAUUUCAAAAACUCCAGGUCAGCUUUUUCUUCUAAUUAAAGAGAAAUGGUGUAGUAUCCCUUAAGUGCGGAUUUCCAUUUUUAAUUUAUUUUAUGAAUAUAGGAUAUUGAAGUAUGAUAUCUCCUUUGAUUAAGUUGAUAUAGGAUAUUCGCGUAGUAUAUAAUAUUUGAGUUUAUUGCUUCUAUCAUUUUUAUUUUUUAAAUGAGUUGAUAUAUAUUAUUUUUUAUUGGAAGAUACCAUAGGACCUAGUUGUAUUCUCUUUUUUUUUUCAGGUUUAACUAGGCUUUGUUAUAUUCUCAGUAUUUCUCUUUCGGUUACUUUAUUUAGUAAUAAUUUUUAGAGAAAGUGUUGCAACUGUAUUAAUUUGUUAUGUUUUAUAGGAUCAUGCAGUUUACCUCUUUCUAGAAAUUAAAAAAAAAAAAACAUAAAGAGAUUUCUGUCCGUGAGUCUUUUGCAAGGAAGAAUUGAACCAUGUUAGUCCAAUAAAGUUAUUCGAAAUGGAAUGAGAGUGAGCGAUUUG